rnacentral:lncRNA from 1 species
GCUCCCGAUCCUUUCGUUCUCGCGAUAGAAAAGAAACAACUGCGACCAUCCCCGCACAUCGUCCACUUCCCCCACGAUUCUCAUCCGUCUCCAGAUCUCUCCCCAUUACCAUCCCUCGUCCUCCUCGCGCACGACGUCGUCGUCCACCUCACCUCCUCCUUCGACAGGUCCGCCGUCCCGUUCGGGGUAACCGUGCUGCUCCUCUUCGCCCCCGUUGCCCCCCAAGCCAUCGGCCCCCGACCGCCCGACUGGCCCCCAUGUCGCUGCACAUGCCCCUCGCCGCCCUCGCGCCGAUGCACAGACACCCCGCUGCCCAGCCACGCUGCCGCGGAAAGAGGCUCCCUGGUGGCUCUCGAAACCCCGUCGAUCCCUCUCUAUACACGCAGAUACCCAGCCUUGAGGCACCCACGCGGAACAGAUCUGGCGAGACGCAGAGACAGACGAGAGGAGGAGCCCGCCGCCGAUCUUUAGUGCCCAGCCGCUGCCGGAGCUUCAACGCACAGCCGCUGCCGGAGCUUCAAUGCCGGCGUCUUCCUCCGGCAGCCUAUCUUCCCCAGGUGAUUCCUCCCCUCUCCGCCACUCCAUCCCCUAGGGUCAUGGAUGGCGGCCUUCUUCCUCCUUGCAUUGCAUGGGCAUGGUGUUUUGUUCUUGUCCAGCCCAUCUUACUAUUCAAGAGAUUUGAUAUUGAUUGACACGCUGUUGGUCGAAUUUUAUUAGAAGUCAGUACUAAUGCUGCAGUUCGUCAGUCUGGAGAAGACAAUUUCUUCAGAGAUCAUUGUAUUUUCCUGAGCAGAACUGAUGUACUUGAAGCUUUAAUCAUGAUAGAACCCACCAUGAUAGAACUGAUGUACCUAAGCAGAUUUAUUAGAACCCACCAUACAUUUUAUUUCUAUAGAUUUAUUAGAACCCACCAUGAUAGAACUGACGUACCCGAGCAGACAAUGAGAGAGAUCUUGUCAUCUCUUCUCCUGGCACGAAGAACUUAAUCAUGGAGUAGAUUGAAGGUACACAAUUUCAGAUUUGUACGUGCAGAGGUGCGCUUAGUAACGACAGUUCUUGGCUUCAUUUACCGGAACAUCGUUAGGUCCUUACAUGAUCCUUAUUUGAUCAAAUUGCUGGUUAGUACUUUUACAGGAACAUGGAAACCAAAAUAUGUGCUCUGUAUCCAUUCUUAUCAUGUGUGUGCUCUCAAAAUCAAGCUUCAUGCUACAACGGCCAAUAUAACUUAAACCAACAAUCAUCUAAAGUUCUGAAGAUGCCUCACCAUGCAAUAUGUGUAGCUAACUGAAGAUAAAUUAAUGAUUUAUGUUCAUGUAUCCUUUUAAUACUGGUUCUUUUUUUCUGUUCAUGUUAUGCAAGCUGGAUUCAGCAGUUUUCUAUGGCUAAAAGUCAAUUGACAUGUCAAUAUACGCGAGCAUGUCUUUGCGUUUAGGAGUUGAGAAGACUUUGAGUGCACGCCAAGGGAAAGGUGAAUCAGUUGAUGUAGGUGAAUUUUCUUGAAAUGAAAGUGUGGCUUCUUAAAUACCAAGCUUAUAUGGAAGUGNNNNNNNNNNNNNNNNNNNNNNNNNNNNNNNNNNNNNNNNNNNNNNNNNNNNNNNNNNNNNNNNNNNNNNNNNNNNNNNNNNNNNNNNNNNNNNNNNNNNAUGAUGUGUCUGAACGUCAUAGCCACGCACUAUUUGGUAUGGUGCAUACUAUGAUGUCUCUUAUCGAAUUACCACUAUCGUGUAUGGGUUAUGCAUUAGAGACAACCGCACUUACUUUAAAUAGGGCACCGCGUAUUUCUGUUGAGAUGACACAGUAUAGAAUGAGGUUUAGAGAAAUCUAAACUGUUGUUUCUUGAAAGUUUGGGGCUUCGACACCUAUGUGAAAAAGUUUCAGUCUGAUAAGCUCGAACCCAAAGCGGAUAAAUGCAUCUUCAUAGGAUAUCCAAAACAGUUGGGUACAUCUCCUAUCUCACAUCGAAAGCAAAACAAAACAGUUGGGUACAUCUCCUAUCUCAGAUCCGAAAGCAAAGUGUUUGUUUCUAGAAACGGAUCCUUUCUCGAGGAAAGGUUUCUCUCGAAAGAAUUGAGUGGGAGAGUGGUAGAACUUGAUGAGGUUAUUGAACCAUCACUUCAACCAGUGUGUAGCAGGGCGCAGGAAGUUGUUCCUGUGGCACCUACACCAAUUGAAGUGGAAGCUGAUGAUGGUGAUCAUCAAGCAUCAGAUCAAGUUACUACAAGCCUCGUAGGUUGACAAGGUCACGUACUACUACAGAGUGGUACGGUAACCAUGUCUUGGAGGUCAUGUUGUUGAGCAACAGUGAACCUACGAGUUAUGGAGAACGCGAUGGUGGGCCCAGAUUCCGACAAAUGGGUGGAAGCCAUGAAAUCCGAGAGAGGAUCCAUGUAUGAAAACAAAGUGUAGACUUUGGAAGAACUACUUGAUGGUGAGAGGACUAUUGAGUAAAGAUGGGUCUUUAAAAGAAAGACAGACGAUGAUGGUGAUAAAUCACUAUUAAGAAAAGCUCGACUUGUCGCAAAGAUGUUUCCGACAAGAUCAAACUGUUGACUAUGAUGAGUCUUUCUCACUCGUAGCGAUGCUAAAGGUCUGUUAGAAUUAUGUUAGUUGUUGAUGCAUUAUUUAUGAAAUAUUGCACAUCGGAUGUCAAAACAUUGUUUUCUCAACGGUUUCUUUGAGCAAACAUUGUAUGUGAUACAACCAGAAGGUUUUGUCGAUCCUNNNNNNNNNNNNNNNNNNNNNNNNNNNNNNNNNNNNNNNNNNNNNNNNNNNNNNNNNNNNNNNNNNNNNNNNNNNNNNNNNNNNNNNNNNNNNNNNNNNNUGUGUACUUUACUAGUACUCCUAGUAGCACGAGGGUAUUGGAUACCGAUUCGGUUGCUAAGUGAUUAGUGACGCGAAAUGAAAGCUACGGCAUAAACGGAUACUAGCUAGAGGCGAGGUGACGAUACGUGUUGGAAGUGUUUCCAAGAUUGAUAUGAUCAAACGUCGCACGCUCCCUCUACCAUCGGGAUUGGUGUUAAACCUAAAUAAUUGUUAUUUGGUGCUUACAUUAAGCAUGAACAUGAUUGGAUCGUGUUUAUUGCAAUACGAUUAUUCAUUUAAAGAGAAUAAUGGUUACUCUAUUUGCUUGAAUAAUCACCUUCAAUGGUUUAUUGAAUCUCGAUCGUAGUGUUACACAUGUUCAUGAUAUUGGUGCCAAAAGAUACAAGUUGAUGAUGAUAGUACCACUUACUUGUGGCACUGCCGCUUGAGUCAUGUUAGUAUAAAUUGCAUGAAGAGGCUCCAUGCUGAUGGAUCUUUGUACUCACCUGAUUUCGAAUCACUAGUGACAUGCGAAUCAUACCACAUGAGCAAGGCCUUGUUUUCAUUGAGAUGAAAUAAGAUAGUAACUUGUUGGAAGUGAUACAUUUUGAUGUAUGCAGUCCAAUGGGUGCUGAGGCACGCAGUGGAUAUCAUUAUGUUCUUACUUCACUGACGAUUUGAGUAGAUACAGGAGUAUUUACUUAAUGAAUCACAAGUCUAAAAUGUUGAAAAGUUCAAUUCCGUUUCAGAGUGAAGUUCGUCGUAACAAGAGGAUAAACUGUCUACGAUAUGAUCAUGGAAAUGAAUAUCCGAGUUACGAGUUUUGGUACACAGUUAAGACAAUGUGGAAAUUGUUUCGCAGUUCAUGCCACCUGGAACAUCAUAGUGUGAUGAUGUGUCUGAACGUCAUAGCCACGCACUAUUUGGUAUGGUGCAUGCUAUGAUGUCUCUUAUCGAAUUACCACUAUCGUGUAUGGGUUAUGCAUUAGAGACAACCGCAUUCACUUUAAANNNNNNNNNNNNNNNNNNNNNNNNNNNNNNNNNNNNNNNNNNNNNNNNNNNNNNNNNNNNNNNNNNNNNNNNNNNNNNNNNNNNNNNNNNNNNNNNNNNNUUUAAUUCAAAAUUCCUAUUUUUAGUAUGCAAAUUUUUUUGUAAUUCUAAAUUAUUUAAAUUAUAAAUAAAAAAAAGUGGAACAGAAAAUUUUAAAUAAAAAAAACUAUCAAAACAGGCAUUAGCUAUUUUUAAAAUUUUAGGACAUUUUUUAAAUGCAUUAACAUAUUUUGAAUUAGAAAGCAUUUUCUUAAAUGCCUUUAAUAAUUUUUAAUACAUGGAAUUGUAUUUGAGAUCAUGGACUUUUUUAUUGUACACACAUUUUUCUAAAAUUGCAAACAUUUUAUUGUAUAUGCUAGCAUUUUUUACAAAACUCCGAGCAGUUUUUGAAGUUACAAACAUUUUAAUUUUUAAAAUAUGUUGAUUUAUAAUUUUCAGUUUAUUAAAAUUUUAAAGAUUAUUUGAAGUUCUAAAUUACUUAAAAUAAAAUAAUAAAACGGAAUUGAAAAUAAAUAAAUAAACAAAACUAAAAGCAGGCGCCUGUGCAUGGGCCGGCCCAUACGGUGUGUUGGAUAUUCUCCCAGCGUGCUGAGCAUAAUAUAGGAUGUUUUUACAUGGGCUGGCCCGGUUCAAGACUUUUCGCUUUGUGAAACGUUUUCUAUUACUUACCAGUGGCAUGGUGGGUAAUUUAUGCAAACUUUAGGGGUAAUUUUCAAAACGGACGACCAGAAACCGUAUUUGCUUUAUUAUUAGGGAAAGNNNNNNNNNNNNNNNNNNNNNNNNNNNNNNNNNNNNNNNNNNNNNNNNNNNNNNNNNNNNNNNNNNNNNNNNNNNNNNNNNNNNNNNNNNNNNNNNNNNNAUCAUCAUUAACUUCCUCCUCAACCGGCGUCGCAACGACAGAGGUUUCCCCUUGCCCUGCGCCACCAUCCAGAGGGAUGAGAGGUUCGACAACCUCGUCAAGUUCUAUCUUCCUCCCACUCAAUUCUCUCGAGAGAAACUCCUUCUCGAGAAAAGUUCCGUUCUUAGCAACAAACACUUUGCCCUCGGAUUUGAGAUAGAAGGUGUACCCAACUGUCUCUCUUGGGUAACCUAUGAAGACGCACUUUUCCGCUUUGGGUUCCAGCUUUUCAGGCUGAAGCUUUUUGACAUAAGCAUCACAUCCCCAAACUUUAAGAAACGACAACUUUGGCCUUUUGCCAUACCACAGUUCGUAUGGUGUCGUCUCAAUGGAUUUCGAUGGUGCCCUAUUUAAAGUGAAUGCAGCUGUUUCUAAUGCAUAACCCCAAAAUGAUAAUGGCAAAUCAGUAAGAGACAUCAUAGAUCGCACCAUCUCUAACAAAGUACGAUUACGACGUUCGGACACACCAUUACGCUGUGGUGUUCCAGGCGGUGUUAACCGCGAAACAAUUCCACAUUGUCGUAAGUGAGUACCAAACUCGAAACUCAGAUAUUCACCCCCACGAUCAGACCGUAGGAACUUGAUCUUCUUGUCAUGAUGAUUUUCCACUUCACUCUGAAACUCCUUGAACUUUUCGAAUGUUUCAGACUUGUGCUUCAUCAAGUAGACAUAACCAUAUCUACUUAAAUCAUCAGUGAAGGUGAGAAAAUAACGAUAUCCGCCACGUGCCUCUACGCUCAUUGGACCACACACAUCGGUAUGUAUGAUUUCCAAUAAGUCACUUGCACGCUCCAUUGUUCCGGAGAACAGAGUUUUAGUCAUCUUGCCCAUGAGGCAUGGUUUGCACGUGUCAAGUGAAUCAAAGUCAAGUGACUCCAAAAGUCCAUCAGCAUGGAGUUUCUUCAUGCGCUUUACACCAAUAUGACUUAAGCGGCAGUGCCACAAAAAUAUGGCGCUAUCAUUGUUUACUCUAACUCUUUUGGUCUCAAUGUUAUGUAUAUGUGUAUCGCUAUCAAGAUUCAAUAUGAACAAUCCUCUCACAUUCGGUGCAUGACCAUAAAAGAUGUUACUCAUAGAAAUAGAACAACCAUUAUUCUCAGACUUAAAAGAGUAACCGUCUCGCAAUAAACAAGAUCCAGAUAUAAUGUUCAUGCUCAACGCAGGCACUAAAUAACAAUGACUUAAGUUCAUCACUAAUCCCGAUGGUAGCUGAAGUGACACUGUGCCGACAGCGAUUGCAUCAACCUUGGAACCGUUUCCUACGCGCAUCGUCACUUCAUCUUUCGCCAGCCUUCGACUAUUCCGCAGUUCCUGUUUCGAGUUGCAAAUAUGAGCAACAGAACCGGUAUCGAAUACCCAGGCACUACUACGAGAGCCGGUUAAGUACACAUCAAUAAUAUGUAUAUCAAAUAUACCUGAUUUUUCUUUGCCCGCCUUCUUAUCUGCCAGAUACUUGGGGCAAUUGCGCUUCCAGUGACCCAUACCCUUGCAAUAGAAGCACUCCGUUUCAGGCUUAGGUCUAGCCUUGGGUUUCUUCGGCGGAUUGGCAACAGGCUUGCCGCUCUUCUUCGAAUUUCCCUUCUUGCCUUUGCCGUUUCUCUUGAAACUAGUGGUCUUGCUCACCAUCAACACUUGAUGUUCUUUACGGAGUUCAGACUCUGCGACUUUCAGCAUCGCAAACAACUCGCCGGGAGACUUGUUCAUCCCUUGCAUGUUGUAGUUCAACACAAAGCCUUUAUAGCUUGGCGGCAGUGAUUGAAGGAUUCUGUCAGUGACAGCUUCUUGCGGGAGUUCAAUCCCCAGCUCAGCUAGACGGUUUGAGUACCCAGACAUUUUGAGUACAUGUUCACUGACAGACGAGUUUUCCUCCAUCUUGCAAGCAUAGAAUUUAUCGGAGGUCUCAUACCUCUCGAUCCGGGCGUUCUUCUGAAAGAUAAACUUCAACUCUUGGAACAUCUCAAAUGCUCCAUGACGCUCAAAGCGACGUUGAAGUCCCGGUUCUAAGCCAUACAAGACUGCACAUUGAACUAUUGAGUAGUCCUCCUUACGUGCUAACCAAACGUUCUUAACAUCCUGAUCAGCCGUAGCGGGUGGUUCAUUUCCUAGCGCAGCAUCAAGGACAUAAUCCUUCUUCCCAGCUUGUAAGAUUAGCCUAAGAUUACGAGCCCAGUCUACAAAGUUGCUUCCAUCAUCUUUCAACUUAGCUUUCUCUAGGAACGUAUUAAAAUUCAGGGUGACUGUUGCGUGAGCCAUGAUCUACAACACAAACAUAUUCAAAGUGGACUUAGACUAUGUUCAAGAUAAUUAGAGUUCAACUUAAUCAAAUUAUGUGCUAAACUCCCACUCAAAAAGUACAUCUCUCUAGUCAUUUGAGUGGUUCAUGAUCCACCUACACUAUCCCAAGUCCGAUCAUCACGUGAGUCGAGAGUAGUUUCAGUGGUAAGCAUCCCUAUGCUAAUCAUAUCAACUAUAUGAUUCAUGAUCGACCUUUCGGUCUCAUGUGUUCCGAGGCCAUGUCUGCACAUGCUAGGCUCGUCAAGCUUAACCCGAGUGUUCUGCGUGCGCAACUGUUUUGCACCCGUUGUAUGUGAACGUUGAGUCUAUCACACCCGAUCAUCACGUGGUGUCUCGAAACGACGAACUGUAGCAACGGUGCACAGUCGGGGAGAACACAAUUUCGUCUUGAAAUUUUAGUGAGAGAUCACCUCAUAAUGCUACCGUCGUUCUAAGCAAAACAAGGUGCAUAGAAGGAUUAACAUCACAUGCAAUUCAUUAAGUGACAUGAUAUGGCAUCAUCACGUGCUUCUUGAUCUCCAUCACCAAAGCACCGGCACGAUCUUCUUGUCACCGGCGCCACACCAUGAUCAUCCAUCAACGUGUUUCCAUCGUGGUUGUCGUGCUACUUAUGCUAUCACUACUAAAGCUACAUCCUAGCAAAAUAGUAAACGCAUCUUCAAGCACAAACGUUAGUAUAAAGACAACCCUAUGGCUCCUGCCGGUUGCCGUACCAUCGACGUGCAAGUCGAUAUUAUCUAUUACAACAUGAUCAUCUCAUACAUCCAAUAUAUCACAUCACAUCGUUGGCCAUAUCACAUCACAAGCAUACCCUGCAAAAACAAGUUAGACGUCCUCUAAUUUUGUUGUUGCAUGUUUUACGUGGUGACCAUGGGUAUCUAGUAGGAUCGCAUCUUACUUACGCAAACACCACAACGGACAUAUAUGAGUUGCUAUUUAACCUCAUCCAAGGACCUCCUCGGUCAAAUCCGAUUCAACUAAAGUUGGAGAAACCGUCACUUUCCAGUCAUCUUUGAGCAAAGGGGGUUACUCGUAACGAUGAAACCAGUCUCUCGUAAGCGUACGAGUAAUGUCGGUCCAAGCCGCUUCAAUCCAACAAUACCGCGGNNNNNNNNNNNNNNNNNNNNNNNNNNNNNNNNNNNNNNNNNNNNNNNNNNNNNNNNNNNNNNNNNNNNNNNNNNNNNNNNNNNNNNNNNNNNNNNNNNNNCACUCUGAUCGGCAAUGUUGUGGAAGCAGGAGGGAAGAAGAGGUGGGGAUCUCACGAGGGCUCUUAAGAGAAGGAAGGAAGAUAGCGAGAAGAUGAGAGGAGAAAUUAGACGGUCUCCUUACACCAAAUAUUGUUCAAUCGUUUGGACUUUAUUAAUCUAUCUAUAUAUACGUAUAAAGUUGAAACACAUAGCCUUUUUAUGAGAACCUAAAAAACCCGAUGUCAACUGCGUCUCAAACUUGUUUAGCACACAAAAUCCAGAUGACGAUCGAAUAACUCUAGAUGAAUAUAUGUCGUCCUUGUGAGGACGUCAGGUUUCUUGGCGAAAGAAAGAAUGUCAGUUGAAGUGAACAGAAUAAGCAUCAAAUCAGGCAAGGGGAAAUACUAAAAAGAUGCGAUUCGAGUAGCGACGGAAGCGCGUUGGUAAUCCAAAGGGAAAGGUGGCAGCCGGCCGUGGCGCAUGCAAAUCCAAAUCCAAGGAGCCACCACCACACCAUACCACCAACCCUGCUCCUGCUCCUGCUCCCACGCCACCGUCUCACGCGGGUGCCGAGCCGCCUCCUUGCCGAGAUUGGGAGAGUGUGGUGGUGUGGCCGCGUGUGCCUCUCCCUUUCGCUCUCCCCCUAGGCUUGCUCUUAUAUAUACUCCAGUACAACGCGUUUCCCAAAGCCCCAAUCCCGCAGCGCUCGGCUCCUCGAUCCCCCGCCCCCGACGACACCACCCUCCAUUGCCAUUAUUCCCCUUCCCCACACGCUACUGUACUACUGCUACUCAGCUCCACCGCCGCCACCAACGUCGCGGAAGCGCGCGAUGGCGCCGAAGCGGCCGCUGGAGGUUGUGUCGCCGGAGCAGGUGCAGGAGGGGCCGCGGUCCCCGAGGAAGCGGCUGCGCAGGACGGUGCUCGUCGUGAUGUGCCCCGCGCGGAUCUGCAUGCGCUACAGGGAGAGGAGGAGGGCGAGCGCGGCCACCGUCGAGCAGCUGGCGCAGAUGAUUCGCCGGGUGAGGCCAGGCCAUUCGUUCGAUCCCUCUCCCCGCGUUCCGGUUUUGUUCUCUUCGCUGUGCCUGUGCCUGUGCGUAGCCUACUGAUGAUGAUGAUAAGUCUGGUGGGUCGUGCGACAGGUGCAACUCGACAUCGCGAGACUUUUCAUGCUCUUCAGGGUGUUUGGUGGUGACUCCAUGUCCAUGGACAGGCUGCUAGUGCUCCUCGACCUCCCCAACAUAAUCCAGAGAUUGUUGGCGGAGCAGCUUGCUGCUCUUCAGAGGUAUAUACACAUAUCAUUUAUGUUUUGCAAGCACUCGUGUCCAUGCCAGAAUUGAGAUGCCCGAAUAUAUAUAGCUAGGAAAUGUCACAUUUCGAUUUCAGGAAACUUUAGAGUAGUAAUAAUUGAAGCCCUGGUUUGCUUUCUGGGACCUGCAUGCCAUUUUUAUCCUCUGUUUGAGAAACAAGCAUCCAUCGUUUUGCCUUUUUGAUUGAUUGAUUGAUGACAAGAUUGAUGUUGACAACAUGACGGCUCAUAUUUUUGGAAACGAAAACUUGACAAGCAUAGUAGUAGUACUAUUCCAGGUUCAGGUUGUCAGGUUAUAUUCAUCGAGUGUGAGUAAAUGAAUUAUAUAUAGAUUUGUCCUUCCUAGCUAAAUAUAUGGAAAUUGUCUCUGUGUCUAUUUAUUUAGUACUCCUGUCCUGUUAUACUUUGGAAUGUUGUGGAUGCAUGCGAUGUGAUGGAUCGAUGCUUCCUUGGUUUAAUUAUUAAUUAAUCUAUCUCCUGUUGUGUAUUGUUUUGUAUCCAACAGUUUUUUCAUGGUAUCCAUACAAGAUAUGGUUCGAUCGACACUACAGACAGCGGUUAGAAUCUGGAUCUUCAUCCGUGUAAUAUGUUUUGUAUAUCUGUACCUGCACUUUAUCUUAACUCAAUGUUGCUAUGUCAUGCAACAGAUGCAGGGACGACAGGAAGCUCUGGUUCCUAAUGUCAUUAAUGACCCUCCUAGGUACCUGCCAUUUUUUUAAUUGUAAUUGUUUUUUGAUUUAUUUCAUGAUACCUAGCGUCAAAUCAAGUAUUUGCUUUCUACAUAAUCUGGGAAGUUUCCUUUUGUUACUGUCUCACUCUCAUCUUAUUUCAAAAUAUAGGCACAUGCGACAAGGUUUUCCUGAUACUGGAGGCAACACUCGAGUCAAGCUGCGGUUUGUCGAUGUUGACAGACCAGAAAAUCCACUUUUCACUGGUUGCCCAGUAAAAUGGCAGAAUGGAGAAAACCCAAAGGUGGCGAUAUUUGAAAAUAAUACGCAAAUCACGCAGGGCGAACUUUCCAAGUUGCAAAUUGAGAUCUUAGCAGUCAAUGCUGAUUUCUUUACUGAGCAAGGACAAGAAGACUUCACCAAAGAGCAAUUCAACAAGCAAAUAUAUUUGUGUAAGGGAAAAGAUUCAGUCUUAACAACUGUUAAUCUAGCAAACGGCGAGGCCUAUAUUGGCUCCUUCUUCUUUACUGAGAGCUCCCAGAGGAAAAGGUUAAGAUUGACAGCACGAGUGAAAAAACAGGAUCUUGAUGUCAGAGUUCAAGAAGCAAUUACUGAUCCUUUUGUUGUCCAAGUCAGCCGAAAUAAAGGUGAGUAUGUCCUCUUAUCCAUUCUGAACAUCAAACCUUUUUAACUACUCCCUCCGUUCCUAAAUAUAAGUCUUUUAAGCGAUUUCAUUAAAGGUCUAUAUACGAAGCAAAAUGAUUGAAUCUAUACUCUAAAGUAUGUCUAUAUACAUCCGUAUGUAGUCCACUAGUGAAAUCUCUACAAAGACUUAUAUUUAGGAACGGAGGGAGUAUAUGGCAUUGGAAAUUUAAUACACUCUGUAAUUUGCUCAUUAAAUUAAUCAUUUAUUGCUUGCCAUAGUUGGUUGAAGAACAUGUUCGCUGAUUUGAGUAAAAACAAUGCUAAAGCACACAUCAUAUCUUUCAUACAAUUUUAUUUUACCUGAUUUGCAGUGAUAUUAUAUUAUCUGAAAAUAUGAAGUCUUAGCACUAAUUGUUCUGUCACGAAGUGCUGUUCAAAACGGCGACGCUCAGGCACCUCACCUAGGGCAUAAACCGAGGUCUAGGCAGGCCAAGCGAGAAAUUGUCGACUCCAGCGAGAGAUCAGGACAUAUUGCACUGACGGGCCAAAUGGGCCAUAUACCAAUGGACAGUAGCCGGUAGUUUACUCAUUUACAUGCCCUUAAUUAAUGGUUAUAAGCAUAUACUCCCUCCGUACCUAAAUACUUAUAGUUCUCUCCAACUACAAGUAUUUAGGUACAAAGGGAGUAAUACACAAAUACACCCUGACAGUCAAAACUGCAUGAAGUACUGCACUUGGAUUUGGGACGGCACUUUUCUUCGGUCAUUACAUAUUUUAUUUUGAGUUCUAUAUUAGGUCGUAGAUUAAUAAUGAGCAUGCUAGAUCGGUUUAUAAUUCACCAUGUACAUUAAUCCUUUCCUGAAUACCAUUAUCAUCAGAUGCAAUGGUAGCCAGAAUGAAUGAAUUGCAUAUUAGCAAUCUUGUCUUAACACAUCAAACAUUUUUGUUUACUUUCAGCAAAUAAAAAGAGUUAUCCUCCAUCUAAACAAGAGGCAGUACAUUGUUUGGAGAGAAUUGCUGCAGAUGGAAAACAUUGCCAGUACCUAGCUGGUAAAAGUAUUACUACGGUGAAGCACUUCAUGCGUCAUUAUCACAUAGAUAAAUCUAGUCUCCAAAAGGUAAAUAUACAGUUAUAAACUUGUGAUGGUAUUUCUACAGUCUUCAGUGCUUCAAAUUAUCAGCAAUAGAUAUAAUUAGUCAUUGUCAGGAAUCAGAAAUAAAAUAUCCAGCAUCUCCUAAGAAUGAUUUUGACUACAUGCUAUAUGUAUUCAUGUGCACUAUGCAUGGCAUCUGGUAGCAUUUCAUUGAUUUCUAAGAGAACUGUCUUGAUUUCUUGCAAUUAGCUUACUGACAUGAAGAACGAGAAUUGGAGUACCUUGAUUAAACAUGCCACCACGUCUGAUCCUGGGGUUGAGAUAUAUUCUUAUGGAGUUGCAGAGGAAAAUAUUGAACUUCUAUUCAAUGAUUUCUAUUAUCUUGUUGGUAUGAUGAUUGGUGGAGACUAUGUUCCUGUCAAUGAUCUUGAUCAGCUUCAGCAGGUAUACGUUUGUUCAAUUUCCAUCGCAAUUAGGCUGUUGGCAUUCACUAAAAUAAUAUUGUGCUAGCAAUUAUCUUGGAAAUGCUGUCAUGUGGUUACAAGGUACUCCCACCGUCCCAUAAUAUAAGAGCGUUUUUUACACUCUUAUAUUAUGAGACGGAGGGAGUAUAUAGCAAGAUUUACAUUUGGAAAUUGGACUGCUUCCUAAUGUCAUAGUGAAUAACUAUUGGAUAACCUAACUCUGGCAUUGCUGAACCAAAACAAGGUAAAAUGAUGUUAUUGUACGUAUAGUUAGGACCAAUGUAUGCAUUUUCUCAUGUCGAGACUCUGUUUCUGUACUGUAGAGUUUAUUUUAUCAAUAAAGAUAUGCACGCGUGAUGAAAAUGUGUUGUACUAUUACUUUUUGUUUCCAAUAUCUAAAAACCUAGAAUAAGAAAUAUAUGGAGCAGUUUGAUUGCCAACUUGCGGUGUUUCUGUGCCCGCACAGUGUAAACACAUUCGAACAUAGUGGAUUCAACAGAGGGAGGAUCUAAUCACCAUCCUAGUGCACUUAACUGAAAAUCCUUAAGAUGACCAGAGAGAAUAUAAACACUUUAUUAGCACCAAUAGAUUGCCUUCCUAUUCAAAUAUUGCUUUCCGAUGGUUUAGAAGAUUUUAUAAACAUCUGAGCAUUAGAUGCUUUGCUGUAUACUCCCUCCGUUCGUAAAUAUAAAUCUUUUUAAAGAUUUCACUAGGGGACUACAUACGGAACAAAAUUAGUGAAUCUACAAUCUAAAAUAUGUCUAUAUACAACCGUAUGUAGUCUCCUAGUAAAACCUCUAAAAAGACUUAUAUUUAGGAACGGGGGAGUACAAAUCUACAAGCAAGCAUGCACUUGCACAUUGUGACAGCGAUGACAUAAAUGAAACAUUCUGUUACAGCAUAAAGCGAACAACUGGAAAAAAUCUGCAUAUAAGAAAUUUGAAGAGCGGGAGAGCUCAGGGGGUCUUACCCCUGAUUACUUCAUGAACAAGAACAAUGGCCGCCCUGUCCCUGUCCGUGAAGUGCCUCUGAACAAUGAUGCAGGUCCUUCUGUACAAGCUAGAACUACGUGGCAAUAUCCUAAUGACAUGGCUGCACAACACGGUGAUUUUUUAUAUUUUAGUCCAUCGCUGUUGCCCUACAUGUUUCACUAAAUUCAACUUAUUGCAGAAUUUGGUGAUCAACGUCCAUUGAGUGUGUUCUCACGGGCCGCAAUCCUGUCAAACAAUGAUGCUGGUCCUUCAAACCAAGAAACACUGCUGUUUCCACAGCACACGUAUGAACAGAUUCUGCAUCAAGGUUAAUAUUAAACACCUGCAUAAUUUUGUAUCACACAUCCUCUAUACUGUAAUUGCUUCUUCAUCGCAACUUUUUGUUGUUUUUGUUGACUUCUGAUGGUUUUGGUGGUUAACUUACUGUAGGACUUGGUGAGCACGGUCCUUCUAUUCCACAGAAUGGAACUCCUUACUGUCUGCCCCAGGAAAAUAUCUUAAAUGAUCAGGGACAAUUUUCAGCACAGUCCACUAUUCCGCCCCGCAAUUUUUCACCGGUAAGUAAAGUUACCUAUGGCACAAUCAACAAUUCCAUCCUGCAAUUUUUCAUUGACAACCUGAACUCUUUCGUGGAUGCUAGGUUCCACAGGAUGACAUGAUCACAGGUGCAAGUCUAGCUGCCCAGGGAGAGGGAACCUCUUCACUUGGCCAUGUUUUUGCUGACCUUUCCAGUGGGUUUCCUUCAGAUCAAGUAUGUGUUCAUUUGAAUAAGUAUCUUUGUACUGACUUAAGUAUAUCAGUAUGUAGCAGUUAUACGGCUUUAAAUUUUUUCCUUUGUUAUGUCAUGAUGGUGUUUGUCUUGCAGUUCGGGGACUGCAACGGCCUGGAUCUGGAUAUAACUGAAUAUAUGAAGAACAAUGGCAUUGCACCAGCUAACAACGGUAUGCAAAUAUUUGAAAUUUCAAUACCCAUGGUACCACAGUGAAAAGGCGAUAAAUUUACGCGAUUUUCAAUGCCUUAGUGAUAACUUCUGUUGAUAUAAGCUCAACUGCUAAAUCAGGGAGCUUGUGUUGCAAUCAUCUUCCACAGUCAGAACUCUUUCCAUUUCAAUCUAGGAUGAUAGCAAAUUGGUAUUUACCUUCAUUAAAUCUAGAGUGUGCAUGUUUGACUGAUGACUACCAAACUGUUGAAACCCCGGCUGCUUAAAAGUUAAAUCUAGGCCUGGAUUUAAGAUCCUCCUCUUGAUCCGUGCGCUAAUGUCAUGUUUCUUUUGUUUCAGCAGACCUGUGGAACGCUAACGCCCCAUUUGAUGGUUAUGGACAUGAUGGUGGCAACCAGUGAUUGAUUAAACUUGAGACCACUGCAACAGGCUUAAUUUCCUCUACUAGACUCAUGAUGAUGGCAGUGUGUGAUUAAAUUAUUUGUGGUGAUUAAACAUUUCGUCUGUAAAUAUUGGUAGUGUUGCCAGUCCUAAUAGACAAUAUUGUUCAGCAACGUUAAAUUUGCUGUUGGUUGUAAUAGACAUUUGGCUUGUAUUCCUAAAAGCAAAUCUUUCAGAACAAGAACAUAUGUAACAUGUAUCGAAUACCUAGAGCGAAUAUUCAUAUUGAUUGACGAACUUCCGUCCGAUCCUGUUAAUCCAUCCUUAAUCCUUUUCUAAGUUGAGCAAAUAUUCGUACUGCAGAACUUGCUUGGUGUAAUCCUGUUAAUCCAUCUUCUUCCAAGUUAAGUGUUUCCUAUGGAUAUUCACACAUUGGCUGUAUGCAUCAAUUGAUGCAGAGGCCGGUGGUUUUAACCUCCUUUUCCAAAAAAAAAAGAAAAGAUGUUCACGCAUUUUCAGUCAUAGUUUGUUGUGCAUUAUGAAAUCGCUCUCAGCAAUUUGAACAUGGUAAAAAUACACAGAAGAGAAGAGGAGAGAGAACAUGAUAGUUGUACUACAAGAUUUCAGUUUCGUAAAUACCACAGAGCUUCCAUUCCUCCUACACCAAGUCCACACAGAUCGACACCACAAGCCCUCAUCCUCCGCUGCCCAUCUGCCAAAGCAAACAAGAACACACAAGACAGUUCAGGCAGGCAUGGAUGCAGAGUUCACCUGAGUUGGGAGGGACUGACUAGCCAACCAUGCAAAUGCAAGCAGGGCGGAGAAUUAGUAGCCGAUGUCGGCGCCGUCGUCGACCAAGGUCGCCGUUGAUGCCGGGGAUAGGUAUCGAUCACACGGUGUUAUGGGCCCUGGUCAAGAUCGCAGGAGGAGACGCUUCAAUCUGGCGAGAUCCCGGCUCUCGUUGCUGCUCUCUCGGAGGUGGAUCUCAUCUGGGAUAAUAUAUAUGGCAGAAUUUCCAAGGAAAUGCACGGUUGCCUUGUCGGCUGAGUGUAACUUCCAGGUCGCAACCUUUGUACGAGCAGCCGAAUGAGCAGGAACGAGUACACAUCACAUUUUAUUGACUCAUGCGUGGGUGGUGUAAACAACGGAAAUGAUUUGCGUACGACGAUGCAUGUCCGAAGCACGUACGACGAUGCAUCCGCAUCGUGAGCUAGCUAACCCGUUGAAAGACAUACGGCUUGAUUUGAUGGUCGUACGUGGUUCGGAUGAGAAUCGUCGUACGUGUAGCACUGCUCAGUCUUGGGUGGUGUAAACAAAGUCUUCUUAGGGUAUGUACAAUGGUUGAUAAGAUAGUUUUAUUUCAAGUUUUACAUGUAAUUUAUAGAUGAUAAAAAAAGUCUUACAAUGAAUCACCUCUUAAUUGUUCUCUCUUAAAUAAGAAAAGACAAAUUUUUUUUAUGAGUUAUCUUUCCUCCACCUCAUCAUUUAUCUUACAUGACACUACUAAGAUAGCAUCAUUGUACAUGUCCUUAUGUGACAGGAAAAAAAAACCAACAGCCCUACCAGGAAAUAAAACAAACGUGUGAAGCACGUGUUGUGCAUGAGAGUGAUUUUGUUUUCUUAACUCAUGCCUUUUGGUUUAUUGCACUAUCUUUCUUUUAACACGCAAGCGUUUAUAUACACGUACAUAGACUGAGCCGGCAUAUCAUGAAAUUUAUGAAUAAAUUCAGAAAUAAAUGCGAACAUCAGGAUUUAAACCCUGAUGAGCUAUGAAUAUCACAAUCUCUCUAACCAUCCAACCACAGACUGGUUCGCAUUGUACUCUUCGUCGUACUAUCUUUUCAAUGUGUUACUUGUUGUCCUUAAUAAUUAUCAUAUCUAAGAUGCCCUUUGGGUGUGUUUCGUACUAUGAAAAAGGGUCCUGCAUGGAUAGAGAGAGCGUGUGCUGACGAGACAGCAUAAAAUGUUUCACCAGUUAGUUAAUAGAGUGUCACAUAAAUAAAAUACAUAGUCCGGGUAGGAAAAAUACUCCACGAUGCUUGAGUGCCCUUGACCAAAGCCUAGCGCCCUCGAUCGCCCCAUCCUUUCCUCCCUGGCUACUACCUCAGAUCACCGCCAAUCCGCAUGACUUCCAAGGACGACAGCGGCGAAGCUCCCUCCUUGAGCAACACCUUGGUACUUGUACGCCUCUUCCUACUGAGCGACGUCGUUGUGCUCUCCGUUGGUUCCUUGGUGGUUGCGUUUUUCUGUUGCCAUUUUUGUUGGCGAUGCUCCGCCCCUCCUUUGGACGGAGCAUUGCCAGUAUAUGGACUUUUUUUUAGAAUAACUGCAUAUUUUUUAACCAGCAAAUGUUACAAACAUAGCACAUACAUAACAUCGCUGAGAGAGCACGAGAGACCAAAGGUGUCCCAACACAAAUGCAAAAAGGUCUCAAAAAGGAGAAAAUACAAUCUGAACCCCCGGGGGCCUUAAUGCAUGAAGAACCAACACCAGUCGCUGACCGCCGCCAUCGACGACGAGACGAACGGCGAAGGAGGACGCCAGAAACCAUCAAACCCUGAGCCGAGGGCACACCAUCACUGAAAAGGGCUUUCUGAGUCGAAGAUGAGCCCGGUCGCAAACGGUGAGGCAUAGCCGUUGUGGCACGUCGACCGGGGAAAGUCCCCGUGCAAAUCCUCGGCUCCAGUUUCGGCACCUCCGUUGGACGAAGUCGAAGGAGAAUUACCAGAUCUACCGCCACAAACCACCACGAGAGUGUUGAGUCACCAAGUCUCUCGCCAACAGCCGCGGUCACCGCACGGGCCGGUGACCAACGCUGGCCCGAGCACUCCUAUACAAGACUCUGUCGGCUUCCCAUCGACACUGAAGAACGUGUCGAUGUGGCAGAGACGAAGCCGAGGGAACAAAACUCCCGAUGUCCCCUGCUUGACCAAAUCCGAGCACGCCAAGCCUGUCGCCGCACACGUCGGCCAGGCCAAACCUAACCUCACCGCCCAAGACGAGCGGCAGGAAUCUACGCCGAGCAGCGCCCGAGGAAACACCACCGAGACGGAGGCGGAACCGGAGGACAAAAGGCACGAGCUGGGCAGCCGUCGCCGCCUCGUCGACCCAGCCCCACCACCCAGAUAUCGCCAGCCACGCGAAACCUGCGAGCAGACCGAAGCUCCCAGCCUUCUCGCCCACCGCAACGCAUACCACCGCGUUGGGGAGAGAGCAGGGGCACCCUUAUUAGCCGCACUCGCCAUUCCCACCGGAGAUGCGAAAACGACCAGCCACCACCAAGCUACAAAGCCUACCUAGACUACACCUGUACAAGCCAUGCCCCCGGAUCCGACGACCCCAACCUGCACCGAAGAGCAUGAAGUCCCGGGGGAGAUGGCGUCGCCGGAUCCAAAGCCGGCAAAGGAGUCGCCUCUCACUAGUGGAAAACGGGCCUUUGGCCAGGACCCUUUAGUCCCGGCCUGCCUCUGGGCCGGGACUAAAGGCCCGGCCACGUCGCCCCAAUUCUCAAUGCCUCCCUCGAGGCUUUAGUCCCGGCCCGUAAGGAGCCUUUAGUCCCGGUUCAUGUUCCAAACCGGGACUAAAGGGCUACGCGGCGGGUAGUGGUGGUGGCAACCGUUCGUAUCCCCCUUUAGUCCCGGUUGGUGGCUCAACCCGGGACUAAAUCCCUAACCCGUGCCCUGCCGUAGUGGUGGUAACCGUUGGUAUACCUCUUUAGUCCCGGUUGGUGGCUCAACCCGGGACUAAAUCCCUAACACGUGGCCUGCCGUAGUGGUGGUAACCGUUGGUAUACCUCUUUAGUCCCGGUUGGUGGCUCACCCCGGGACUAAAUCCCUAACCCGUGCCCUGCCGUAGUGGUGGUAACCGUUGGUAUACCUCUUUAGUCCCGGUUGGUGGCUCAACCCGGGACUAAAGGCCCAAACGGUUUGCAUCCCGCGUCGUUUCGGGCGAUGAAAAGCACGAACCAAAGCAGAGUCGCCAUUUCUCUGUUUCUUCUUCUCUCUCGCUCUCGCUCUGUUCUUCUCCUCUCUUCUUCCAUCAUGCCAACUCGCUUUGGAGAGGUGCUCGCACAUGGCAAGACCAAGCUCGAUGUCGUGUACACGAACGAGAGCAGGGAGAUGCCGUAUUUUCUUGAACAGUUGAAGGAACGAUGGCUUGACGCCGCAAUGGAUCAUGAGAAGUUCUUGGGGCUUGAUCUGGAGUACACGGCCGAUCAACGCGGUGUUGCCGUCAUCCAACUAUGCUUCGCACACCAUGUCUUGAUCUUCCAAUGGGCGAGGUAAGUUUUGAGGCUUUCUUUGAUCCAAGGUAAUGACAUUGUAAGUUUAUUUGUUUCAAUCAUAGUUGGUUCCCUUCAAAUAGUUGUAGUGAAACAAUUUUGAUUAGUUGAAGGGGAACACAAUCUGAUUGGAAUAGUGUUCCAUAAUCUGAAAAAUCGUAUUAGAAUCAACUAGUGUUUAAUAUGUUCCAUUGGAAUCAUAGUUGGUUCGCUUCAAAUAGUUGUAGUGAAACAAUUUUGAUUAGUUGAAGGGAACACAAUCUGAUUGGAAUAGUGUUUCACAAUCUGAAAAAUCUGAUUGGUUCAAUAUGUUCCAUUGAAAUCAUAGUUGUAGUGAUACAAUUUUAUGCGGUGUUAUUUGAUCCAAGGUUAUGAAAAUUGCAUAUAGCUAGUGAUCUCUCUAGGUUCCAUUUGAUAGCAAUAUGAUAUGUCAUAGUCAUGAAAAUUGCAUAUAGCUAGUGAUCUCUCUAGGUUCCAUUGGAUAGCUAUAGUGAUCUCUCUAGGUUCCAUUGCAUAUGUUCUAUUUGAAUCCUAAAGAUAAUUUUCUCUUUAGUUGUAGUGAAACAUGUUUCCUUAUUGCAGCAGUAUGUAACAUUUUCCAUUUUAAUUUGUUUCUGUUGCAGUAGUGACAAGCAUUGUCCAGAACUCAUGGACUUCCUGCGCAGCGGCAUCACUUUUGCUACCGUUGACAUAACGAACGACAAGCUGAAGAUGAGGUACAGCUUCGGUAUUGAGAUACCAACUGGUUGCCUCAUUGAUCUCCAAACGGUAUUCAGGCUUCGACAUGUCAGGACUUCGAUGGCUCAUAUGGCAGUUGCCUUGAUCGACGAGGAAUAUGGUGAUAUGAAGACCAAUUUUCCCAAAGUCUCAGCACAAACUUUGGGAGAAGGCCCCACUUGAUCGUAUCAACAUUGAGUAUGCAACAAAAGAUGCAUACGUUUCAUACGAGUUGUACCGCAAGAUUCGAGUCGUCAACUAUGGCCAGCGUCACCUCGAAUAAGGUGGACAUUCUGAUUCGAGUCGUCAACUAUGAAAACUAAUUCCCGAACACCAAACGAGGCAUCACGUUAAUCUUCCGAACACCUAAACCCUAAAAUCCUAAAACCCAAAAAUAAUUUCAUUCAAAAAAAACCCAAAAAUAAGCAAAAUCUAAAACUCUUUAGUCCCGGUCCGUGUAACGAGCCGGGACUAAAGGGCCUGCCCCUGAGGCGCUACGAGGCGCCCACGUGGAGCAUCUUUAGUCCCGGCUUGUAACAGGGCCGGGACUAAAGGUUAGGCGUCCCGGUUGGUGAACCGGGACUAAAGUCCCUUACGGGCCGGGGCUAAAGGCCCCGUCUCCACUAGUGUCUGGCAGUAUAUGGACUUGUGGUAACCUUUGUUAGGACUUAGGUGCUCCAUCCCUGUUCCUCACCUCUCACCUGAUUUGGACGCCCACCGGUUUGGUCUGGCCUAGUAUCUUUUUCCAGUCAUUUCUCGGUUAGAUGCGGAAGAUUUGCCGCAUGAUCUAGCGAUUGCAUCUGACGUUUUUCUUGACUGGUGAUUAAAGUUGGUCGUUAAGGUCUUGUUGAACGUACGUGUGGACCAAAAUAUGUUUUUAUCUUUGUGACAAGUACAAUGACCGCUGUUGUAUUUAUCUCUCAUCUCAACCCUCAACUAAAUUCUAUGUGAAUUCCUAGUAUCUCUUGCAAUCCCUGGUAUCCAUCAAUUGGUUCUGUCGCGCUCCUAAGUUCUCCUUCCCUCUCCGAUCAUAUAUCUCUUUAGUCGAAUCAUGGCAAGGUCAUGUCAAGACCCAAAUGUUUUUUCAAAAAGAUAGUAUAAACACACACACUCACAUCCAUGAACGCACAUACGCACGUUCUAUUCCUAUAAGCACAUUUGAAAGGCUGAGCCGGCGGAUGUUAAGAUUGACAAAGUCACAACAAACGUCACAUCACUCUAUGGACAGAAACAUUGCCUCCCAUUGAGAGUACAUUUCGCGUUUAUCACACACCAAAGCAUCAACAUUUAAUUCCUUGUGUUAGGAAUUAAUUAAAUGUAUUAAUUAAUGGAAUAAUCCAUGCGUUGCCGGUUGCCUUGAUUUAGCAACCGUUCCUUGUAACCGACUCUGUACUCGGGGUAUAAAUACCCCGCAUCUUCAAUCAAUAAUAAUUGUUCCAUCAUUCUGUCACUUUCACUGUUUUACACGUUAUCAGCACUCGCUCUGCCGAGAGCGACAGAGAGCCACGAGAAAGGUCAGAAUGGCAGGAAGAGAGUUGUCUGCACUUGCUUUUGCUUUCGCACGCUUCCUGCAGAAAGAGAACACCCGCUUCCCUCGCACUCAGCGCCACCGCAUUGCACGUCGCCAUCAGGGUCUUGGUGCAAGGAAUGGCCCUCAUCGCCGUUCCUUCACCAGGAACCACCGCCAGAACCGGAGUGGCCCUCAUCGCCGCUUCUUCGCCGGGAACCACCGCCAGAACCACCGCCGUGGGUAUGCACGUCGAGGCAACCAACCACUUCGUGGGCGUGCACCAACGGUGCACCAGGCUGGAUCCUCGACUCCGGCCACCGCUCCACUACAACAGGCUGGUGUUGUAGAUAUGCCCUAGAGGCAAUAAUAAAUUAGUUAUUAUUAUAUUUCUUAGNNNNNNNNNNNNNNNNNNNNNNNNNNNNNNNNNNNNNNNNNNNNNNNNNNNNNNNNNNNNNNNNNNNNNNNNNNNNNNNNNNNNNNNNNNNNNNNNNNNNUGGAUAAUAAACUAUUAUCUUGAUACAGGAAUUAUAAUAAUAACUAUGCAUUUAUUAUUGCCUCUAGGGCAUAAUUCCAACAGUGCCUUCUAGUUGCACUGUCUGUACCCAGACAGUUUAUAACUCUUCCGCUGGCUUGUAUUUGUAUGACUGCUAUUAUGGGUCGAGAGACCUUAAUGUGUAAUAUUAUGUGUGUGGCUCUUNNNNNNNNNNNNNNNNNNNNNNNNNNNNNCUUCCGAGCCUCUUAAAUAAAGCUUGUAUGUUUAUGGUUAUGUUGUGAUGCCAUCGAUGUAUCUAUACAUAUCGGUAUGCCAUGCGUACGUGUGUCUUACUUGGUAUGUAUGGGGUUCGAAUACCUAGUCGUGAACUUUAGUAGCACUCCUUACAAGGAAAUGCCCCUUUGUGAUCCAACGAGCCUUGGUAGUUCGCUACUGCUCCGGACACAUUGGUUGACCGGCAUGUGUCCUUCUUAGCUGCUGUGUCUGUCCCCUUUGGGGAAAUUUCACGCGAUGUAAUGGAGUCCUUGUAGCUUGCUACGACUCGUCUACAUUCGCCGAUGACCGACACCUGCUUUGUUGGGUCAUGUAUGCCUGUCCUUGUGCGGUACUGCCACUUUGGUUUAUGACUAGACAUGUCGAUCCGGGUUCUUUGACAUUGGAUUGCUAGCGACACUAUCGCAUACGUGAGUCAAAAGACGCAAACGGUCCCGGCUAAGGUAAGGCUGCAGCCGUGGAGUUAACCGUGCGUGAGACCACAAAGGGAUGCGAUGUGUUACAGGCUAGAUUCCUAUGGCUUAGGAUCGAGGUCCCGACACUUUAAAAUAUCCAUUUGUACUUAACGGUCUUACGACCAUCAAGUAGUUCUUCCAAAGUCUACACUUUGUUUUCAUACAUGGAUCCUCUCUCGGAUUUCAUGGCCUCCAGCCAUUUAUCGGAAUUCGAGCCCACCAUCGCUUCUCCAUAGCUCGUAGGUUCAUUGUUGUUCAACAACAUGACCUCCAAGACAGGGUCACCGUACCACUCUGUAGCAGUACGCGACCUUGUCGACCUACGAGGUUUGUAGUAGCUUGAUCAGAAGCUUAAUGAUCACAAUCAUUAGUUUCCACUUCAAUUUGCGUAGGCGCCACAUGAACAAAUUCCUGCGCCCUGCUACACACUAGUUGAAGUGAUGGUUCAAUAACCUCAUCAAGUUCCACCAUCCUCCCACUCAGUUCUUUCGAGAGAAACUUUUCCUCGAGAAAGGACCCGUUUCUAGAAACAAACACUUUGCUUCCGGAUCUGAGAUAGGAGGUAUACCCAACUAUUUUGGGUGUCCUAUGAAGAUGCGUUUAUCCGCUCUGGGUUCGAGCUUAUCAUGCUGAAACUUUUCCACAUGAGCAUCGCAGCCCCAAACUUUUAAGAAACGACAGCUUAGGUUUCUCCAAACCAUAGUUCAUACGGUGUCAUCUCAACGGAAUUACGUGGUACCCUAUUUAAAGUGAAUGUGGUUGUCUCUAAUGCCUAACCCAAAACGAUAGUGGUAUUUCGAUAAGAGACAUCAUAGUAUGCACCAUAUCAAAUAGGGCGCGGCUAUGACAUUCAGACAAACCAUCACACUAUGGUGUUCUAGGUGGCAUGAACUGCAAAACAAUUUCCACAUUGUCUUAACCGUGUACCAAAACUCGCAGCUCAGAUAUUCAUCUCUAUGAUCAUAUCGUAGACAGUUUAUCCUCUUGUCACGAUGAUCUUCACUCUGGAAUAGCUUUGAACUUUUCAAUAUUUCAGACUUGUGAUUCAUCAAGUAAAUACUCAUGUAUCUACUCAAAUCAUCAGUGAAGUGAGAACAUAACGAUAUCCACUGCGUGCCUUAGCACUCAUUGGACUGCACAUAUCAAAAAUCUAUUGCAUCCAACAAGUUACUUUCUUGUUCCAUGUGGUAUGAUUUUGCAUGUCUCAAGUGAGUUAAAAUCAAGUGAUUCCAAACGAUCCAUCUGCAUGGAGUUUCUUCAUGCGUUUAUACCAACAGGUAUGGUUUCCAUGUCUCAAACGUUUCAAAAAUGAGUGAGUACAAAGAUCCAUAAGCAUGGAGUUUCUUCAUGCAUUUUACACCAACAUGACUCAAGCGGCAGUGCCACAAGUAAGUGGUUCUAUCAUUAUUACUUUGUAUCUUUUGGCACCACUAUUAUGAAUAUGUGUAACACUACGAUCGAGAUUCAAUAAAUCAUUGAAGGUAAUUAUUCAAGAAAAUAGAAUAACCAUUAUUCUCUUUAAAUGAAUAAUCGUAUUGCAAUAAACACGAUCCAAUCAUGUUCAUGCUCAAAGCAAACACCAAAUAACAAUUAUUUAGGUUUAACACCAAUCCCGAUGGUAGAGGGAGCGUGCGAUGUUUUGAUCACAUCAACCUUGGAAACACUUUCAACACGUAUCGUCACCUCGCCUUUAGCUAGUCUCCGUUUAUUUCGUAGCUUUUAUUUCGAGUUACCAAUCACUUAGCAACCGAACCGGUAUCUAAUACCCUCGUGCUACUAGGAGUACUAGUAAAGUACACAUCAAUAUCAUGUAUAUCAAAUAUACUUCUGUUGACUUCGCCAGCCUACUCAUCUACCAAGUAUAUAGGGUAGCUCCGCCUCAGUGACCGUUCACCUCAUAACAAAAGCACUUAAUCUCGGGUUUGGGUUCAAUCUUGGGUUUCUUCAUUAGAGCAGCAACUGGUUUGUCGUUUCAUGAAGUAUCUCUUCUAGCCCUUGCCCUUCUUGAAACUAGUGGUUUUACUAACCAUCAACAAUUGAUGCUCCUUCUUGAUUUCUACUUUCGUAGUGUCAAACAUUGUGAAUCGCUCAAGGAUCAUCAUAUAUAUCCUUGAUAUGUUAUAGUUCAUCACGAAGCUCUAGCAGCUUGGUGGCAGUGACUUUGGAGAACCAUCACUAUCUCAUCUGGAAGAUUAACUCCCACUUGAUUCAAGCGAUUGUUAUACUGAGCACAUGCUCAACGAUUGAGCUUUUCUCCUUUACUUUGUAGACAAAGAAUCUUGUUGGAGGUCUCAUACCUUUCAACAAGGGCACGAGCAUGAAAUCUCAAUUUCAUAUCUUAGAACAUCUUUUAUGUUCCGUGACGUUUCAAAAUGUCUUCGGCGUCUUGCAUCUAAGCCAUUAAGUAUUACGCACUGAACUAUCACGUAGUCAUGAAAAAUGUGUAUGUCAGAUGUUCGCAACAUCCACAGACGACGCUUGAGGUGCAGCACACCGAGUGGUGCAUUAAGGACAUAAGCCUUCUACGCAGCAAUGAGGACAAUCCUCAGUUUUACGUACUCAGUCCGCAAAGUUACUACUAUCAUCUUUCAACUAAAUUUUCUCUAGGAACAUAUAAAAAAACAGUAGAGCUAUAGCGCAAGCUACAUCAUAAUUCGCAAAGACCUUUUGACCAUGCUCAUGAUAAUUAGUUCAAUUAAUCAUAUUACUUAAGAACUCCCACUCAAAAAAUACAUCCCUCUAGUCAUUUCAGUGGUGCAUGAUCCAAAUCCACUAACCCAAGUCCGAUCAUCACGUGAGUUGCGUAUAGUUUCAGUGGUAAACAUCUCUAUGCUAAUCAUAUCAACUAUAUGAUUCAUGCUCGACCUUUCGGUCUCUUGUGUUCCGAGGCCAUGUCUGCACAUGCUAAGCUCGUCAAGUUUAACCCGAGUGUUCCGCGUGUGCAACUGUUUUGCACCCGUUGUAUGCGAACGUUGAGUCUAUCACACCCGAUCAUCACGUGGUGUCUCGAAACGACGAACUGUCGCAACGGUGCAUAGUCGGGGAGAACACAAUUUUAUCUUGAAAUUUUAGUGAAGGAUCACGUUAUAAUGCUACCAUCGUUCUAAGAAAGAUAAGGUGCAUAAAAGGAUUAACAGCACAUGCAAUUCAUAAGUGACAUGAUAUGGCCAUGAUCUUGUGCUUCUUGAUCUCCAUCACCAAAGCACCGACAUGAUCUUCAUCGUCACCGGCACCACACCAUGAUCUCCACCAUCGUGCCGCCAUCGAGGUUGUCGUGCUAUAUACGCUAUCACUACUAAAGCUACAACCUAGCGAUAUAGUAAACGCAUAUGCAAACACAAACGUUAGUUUAAAGACAACCUUAUGGAUCCUGCCAGUUGCCGUAGCAUCGACGUGCAAGUCGAUAUUUAACUAUUACAAAAUGAUCAUCUCAUACAUCCAAUAUAUCACAUCAUGUCUUUGGCCAUAUCACAUCACAUGCAUACCCUGCAAAAACAAGUUAGACAUCCUCUAAUUUGUUGUUGCAUGUUUUACGUGGCUCCUAUGGGUAUCUAGUAUGAUCGCAUCUUACUUACGCAUAGCCACAACGGUAAUAUGCAAAUUGCUAUUUAACCUUUCUCCAAGGACCGCCUCGGUCAAAUCCGAUUCAACUAAAGUUGAAGAAACAGACACCCGCCAGUCAUCUUUAUGCAACAAGUUGCAUGUUAGUCGAUGAAACCGGUCUCUUGUAAGCGUACGAUUAAGGUUGGUUUGGGCCGCUUCAAUCCAACAAUACCGCCGAAUCGAGAAAAUACUAAGGAGGGCAGCAAAUUGAACAUCAAUGCCCACAAAAACUUGUUUGUUCUACUCGAGAUUACAUCUACGCAUGAACCUAGCUCAUGAUGCCACUAUUGGGGAACGUUUCAUGGGAAACUAAAAAAUUCCUACACACACGAAGACCUAUCAUGGUGAUGAUCAUCUACGAGAGGGAGAUCGGGUCCACAUACCCUUGUAGAUCGCUAAGUGGAAAUGUUAAGAAACGUGUAUGAUGUAGUGGUAUGUCUUCACGAUCCGUCCCACGAACCGUCUCACGAUCCGUCCCGAUCAAGUGUUGAACGGACGGCACCUCCGCGUUCCGCACACGUACAGCUCGAUGACGAUCUCCGCCUUCUUGAUCCAGCAAGAGGGGCGGAGAGGUAGAUGAGUUCUCCAGCAUGGCGAUGUGGUGGUGGUGUUGGUGGUGCUAUUCCAGCAGGGCUUCGCCUAAGCACCGCUGAAACUAGAGGAGAAACAGAUCUAGAGAGAGAGGGCAGCACGUGGCUGUUUCUGUUGUCCAAAAACCCUCAAAACCCUUAGUAUAUAUAGGAGGAGAGGAGGGAGAGGGUUGCGCCCUAGAGCAACCUUCUCUUCCCUUGCGCAAGGGAGAGGAGGAGGAGUCCUACUCCAAUCCUAUUUGGAGUAGGAUUCCUCCUUCCCACUUGGAAACUCUUUCCACCUUGUGUUUUUCCUUCUCAAACCUUAUGGGUCUUAGUGGGAACUUAUUCGAGCCCACUAGGGGAUGGUUUAUCUCUUGCCACAGCCCAUAAGGCCUCUUGGGGCGUGACACCCCUCCCGAUGGUCCCCGGCACACCUCCCGGCACUCCCGGUACACUACCGAUGAGCCCGAAACUUUUCCCGUGACCAAAACAGGACUCCCUAUAUAUCAAUCUUCAUUUCCGGACCAUUCUGGAAACCUUCGUGAUGUACGGGAUCUCAUCCGGCACUCUGAACAACCUUCGGUCACCAACACAUAUAACUUAACUAUACCGAAACAUCACCGAACUUUAAGUGUGUAGACCCUGCGGGUUCGAGAACUAUGUAGACAUGACCUGAGACACUCUUCGGUCAAUAACCAACGGCGGGACCUCGAUGUUCAUAUUGGCUCCUACAUAUUCUACGAAUAUCUCUAUCGGUUGAACCUCUAUGUCAAGGAUUAAUAUAAUCCCGUAUACUAUUCCCUUUGUCCUUCGGUAUGUUACUUGCCCGAGAUUCGAUCGUUGGUAUCUCCAUACCGAGUUCAAUCUCGUUACCGGCAAGUCUCUUUACUCGUUCCAUAAUACAAGAUCUCGUGACUAACUCCUUAGUCAUAUUGCUUGCAAGGCUUGUUGUGAUGUUGUAUUACCGAGUGGGCCCCCUAGAUACCACUCCGUCACAUGGAGUGACAAAUCACAGUCUUGAUCCAUGCCAACCUAAUAGACACCUUUGGAGAUACGUGUAGAGCACCUUUAUGGUCACCCAGUUAUGUUGUGACGUUUGAUACACACAAGGCAUUCCUCCGGUGUCCGGGAGUUGUGAUACGUCCAUUUUGCAUCAUGUUUUCAUGUUGAUAUUUAUUGCUUCUUGGGAUGUUAUAUUACUUGUGGUGCCAUAUUUAUGCCUUUUCGCUCUUAUUUUGCAAGGAUUAUUUGAAGAGGGAGAAUUCAGGCAGCUGGAAUUCUGGACUAGAAAAGGAGCAAAUCCUAGUCCACUAUUCUGCACAUCUCCAAAUGCCCUGAAAAUUUUCGUGGAUUUUUUCUAGAAUAUAUUAAAAAUACUGGGCGAAAGAACUACCAGAGGGGGCCACCAGGGCCCCACAAGCUUGCCCACCGCCGCCGCCCCCCUGGUGGCGCACGGCAGGCUUGUGGGCAGCCCACUGGCCCACUAGCCCCCCUCUUUUGCUAUAUGAUGCGUCCUGACCUGGAGAAAAUCAUACAGGAGCUUUUUCGUGGUUUCCCCGCCGCCACAGGGCGGAACUUGAGUAGAUCCAAUCUAGAGCUCCGGCAGGACGAUCUUGUCGGGGAAAUUUCCCUCCCGGAGGGGGGAAUCAUCACCAUCUUCAUCACCAACACUCCUCUCAGCGGAGGGGAGGCAUCUUCAUCAACAUCUUCAUCGGCACCAUCUCUUCUCCAAUCCCUAGUUCAUCUCUUGUAACCAAUCUUCGUCUCGCAACUCAGAUUAGUACUUGUAAGGUUGCUAGUAGUGUUGAUUACUCUUUGUAGUUGAUGCUUGUUGGAUUACUUGGUGGAAGAGUUUAUGUUCAGAUCCUUGAUGCUAUUCAUUACACCUCUGGUCAUGAUUAUGAUUAUAUCUUGUGAGUAGUUACUUUUGUUCCUAAGGACAUGGAAUAAGUCAUGCUGAUAAUAGUCAUGUGAAUUUGAUAUUCGUUCAGUAUUUUGAUAUGAUGUAUGUUGUUUUUCCUCUAGUGGUGUUAUGUGAACGUGGACUACAUAACACUUCACCAUAUUUGAGCCUAGAGGAAGGCAUUGUGAAGUAGUAAGUAGAUGAUGGGUUGCUGGAGUGACAGAAGCUUAAACCCCAGUUUAUGCGUUGCUUCGUGAGGGGAUGAUUUGGAUCCACUAGUUUAAUGCUAUGGUUAGACUUUGUCUUAAUUCUUCUUUUGUAGUUGCGGAUGCUUGCUAGAGAGGUUAAUCAUAAGUGGGAUGCUUGUCCAAGUAAGGUCAGUACCCAAGCGCCGGUCCACCCACAUAUCAAACUAUCAAAGUAACGAACGCGAAUCAUAUGAACAUGAUGAAACUAGCAUGACAGAAAUUCUCAUGUGUCCUCGGGAGCAUUUUUCCUCCUAUAUGACUUUGUUCAGGCUUGUCCCUUGCUACAAAAGGGAUUGGGCCACUUGCUGCACCGUUGCUACUACUUGUUAUUUGUUACUCUUUGCUUGCUACGUUUCACCUCGCUACACAAUCACUUGUUACCGCUACUUUCAGUGCUUGCAGUUAUUACCUUGCUGAAAUUCGUUUAUCACAGCCUUCUGCUCCUCGUUGGGUUCGACAAUCUUACUUAUAGAAAGGACUAUGAUUGAUCCCCUAUACUUGUGUUGGAAAUAUGCCCUAGAGGCAAUAAUAAAUUAGUUAUUAUUAUAUUUCUUUGUUCAUGAUAAUCGUUUCUUAUCCAUGCUAUAAUUGUAUUGAUUGGAAACACAGUGCAUGUGUGGAUACACAGACAAAACACAGUCCCUAGUAAGCCUCUAGUUGACUAGCUCGUUGAUCAAAGAUGGUCAAGGUUUCCUGACCAUAGGCAAGUGUUGUCACUUGAUAACGGGAUCACAUCAUUAGGAGAAUCAUGUGAUGGACUAGACCCAAACUAAUAAGACGUAGGAUGUUGAUCGUGUCAUUUUGUUGCUAUUGUUUUCUGCGUCUCAAGUAUUUGUUCCUAUGACCAUGAGAUCAUAUAACUCACUGACACCGGAGGAAUGCUUUGUGUGUAUCAAACGUUGCAACGUAACUGGGUGACUAUAAAGAUGCUCUAUAGGUAUCUCCGAAGGUGUUCGUUGAGAUAGUAUGGAUCGAGACUGGGAUUUGUCACUCCGUGUGACGGAGAGGUAUCUCGGGGCCCACUCGGUAAUACAACAUCACNNNNNNNNNNNNNNNNNNNNNNNNNNNNNNNNNNNNNNNNNNNNNNNNNNNNNNNNNNNNNNNNNNNNNNNNNNNNNNNNNNNNNNNNNNNNNNNNNNNNNNNNNNNNNNNNNNNGGUAAACGAGAUUGAAAUAGGUAUGCGGAUACUGACGAUCGAAUCUCGGGCAAGUAACAUACCGAAGUACAAAGGGAAUGACAUACGGGAUUAUAUGAAUCCUUGGCACCGAGGUUCAAACGAUAAGAUCUUCGUAGAAUAUGUAGGAUCCAAUAUGGGCAUCCAAGUCCCGCUAUUGGAUAUUGACCGAGGAGUCACUCGGGUCAUGUCUACAUAGUUCUCGAACCCGCAGGGUCUGUACACUUAAGGUUCGACGUUGUUUUAUGCGUAUUUGAGUUAUAUGGUUGGUUACCGAAUGUUGUUCGGAGUCCCGGAUGAGAUCACGGACAUCACGAGGGUUUCCGGAAUGGUCCGGAAACAAAGAUUGAUAUAUAGGAUGACCUCAUUUGAUUACCGGAAGGUUUUCGGAGUUACCGGGAAUAUACCGGGAAUGACGAAUGGGUUCCUCGGAAUGUACCAGGAAUGACGAAUGGGUUCCGGGUGUUCACCGGGGGGGCAACCCACCCCGGGGAAGCCCAUAGGCCUUGGGGGUGGCGCACCAGCCCUUAGUGGGCUGGUGGGACAGCCCAAUAAGGCCCUAUGCGCCAUAGGAAGAAAAUCAAAGAGAAAAAGGAAAAAAGAAAAGGGGAGGUGAGAAAAAGGGGAAGGACUCCACCUUCCAAACCUAGUUGGAUUCGGUUUGGAAGGGGAGGACUCCCCCCCUUGGCUCGACCGACCCCCAAGGCAAGGCCCCCCUCUCCCACCUAUAUAUACGGAGGUUUUAGGGUUGAUUUGAGACAACUUUGCCACGGCAGCCCGACCACAUACCACCAUGGUUUUACCUCUAGAUCGCGUUUCUGCGGAGCUCGGGUGGAGCCCUGCUGAGAUUAGAUCACCACCAAACUCCGGAGCGCCGUCAUGCUGCCCGAGAACUCAUCUACCUCUCCGUCUCUCUUGCUGGAUCAAGAAGGCCGAGAUCAUCGUCGAGCUGUACGUGUGCUGAACGCGGAGGUGCCGUCCGUUCGGCACUAGAUCGUGGGACGGAUCGCGGGACGGUUUGCGGGGCGGAUCGAGGGACGUGAGGACGUUCCACUACAUCAACCGCGUUUCUUAACGCUUCUGCUGUGCGAUCUACAAGGGUACAUAGAUCAAAUAUCCCCUCUCGUAGAUGGACAUCACCAUGAUAGGUCUUCGUGCGCGUAGGAAAAUUUUUGUUUCCCAUGCGACGUUCCCCAACAACUUGUGGGUCAUCAAGACUCUUUUCUGGCGCCGUUGCCGGGGAGUGAAGCGCCUUUGGUAAGUGGAAAUUGGUAAGGAAACAAUUUUAUACUGUGCUGAAAUUUAUUGUCACUUGUCACUAUGGAAACUCUUCCUUUGAGGAGUUUGUUCGGGGUAUCUUCACCAUGAACGGAAGCACGAGGAUUUGCUCCUCAACCUGAGGUACCUACUGAAAAUAUCUUUUAUAAAAUUCCUUUGGGUAUGCUUGAGAAAUUGCUGGCUAAUCCUUUUACAGGAGAUGGAUCUUCACAUCCAGACUUUCAUCUAAUCUAUGUAGAUGAAGUUUGUGGUUUAUUUAAGCUUGCAGGUUUGCCCGAGGAUGAGGUAAAGAAGAAACUCUUUCCUUUAUCUUUGAAGGAUAAGGCAUUGACAUGGUAUAGGCUAUGUGAUGAUACUGGAUCAUGCAGCUACAAUCGGUUGAAAUUGGAAUUUCAUCAAAAGUUCUAUCCCAUGCAUUUAGUAUAUCAUGAUCGGAACUUUAUUUAUAACUUUUGGCCUCGUGAUAGGGAAAGCAUAGCUCAAGCUUGGGGGAGGCUUAAAUCAAUGCUAUAUUCAUGCCCCAAUCAUGAGCUCUCGAGAGAAAUCAACACUCAAAACAUUUAUGCUCGGAUUUCUCAUGAAGAUCGUACCAUGCUUGAUACUUCUUGUGCCGGUUCUUUUAUGAAGAAGAAUAUUGAUCACAAGUGGAAUUUAUUGGAGAGAAUCAAACGCAACUCUGGAGAUUGGGAGCUGGAGGAAGGUAAGGACUCAGGUAUGAAUUUCUAUUUUGAUUGCGUUAAAUCUUUUGUUGAGACAAACACUUCUAGAGAGCGCUAAGUAUGGACUUGACUCUGAGAUAGUAGCUUCUCUUUGUAAAUCUUUUGCUGCUCAUGUUGAUCUUCCCAAAGAGAAGUGGUUUAAAUAUCAUCCUCCUGUAGAAAGCAACAUAGCCAAAACCAAUCUAGUUGAGGAGAAAAUCAUAGCUUUUAGUGAUCCUGUUGUUCCUUGUGCUUACACUGAGAAACCACCAUACCCUGCUAGGAUGAAGGAUUAUUCUAAAGCUCCAACUGUGAUACGUAGGGGUUACAUUAGACCACUUGCACCCCCUGAAGAGAUUAGAGUUGAACCUAGUGUUGCUAUUAUCAAAGAUCUCUUAGCCAAAGAGAUAGAUGGGCAUGUUAUCAAAUUCUGUGAGGACUCCGCUAGAAUUGCUAAACCUCACGCGAAAGACAAGCACGGACCUGUAGUUGGCCUGCCCGUUGUUUCUGUUAAGAUAGGAGAUCACUGUUACCAUGGUUUAUGUGAUAUGGGAGCUAGUGUUAGUGCAAUACCCCGUUCUCUAUAUGAUGAAAUCAAAGAUGAGAUUGCACCAGCUGAGAUAGAACCCAUUGAUGUCACUAUCACGCUAGCUAAUAGAGACACUAUAUGCCCUUUGGGAAUUGUGAGAGAUGUAGAAGUCCUGUGUGGUAAGACGAAGUAUCCUACUGAUUUCCUCGUCCUUGGUACUACACAAGAUAGCUUUUGUCCCAUCAUAUUCGGUAGACCCUUUCUCAACACUAUCAAUGCUCACAUUGAUUGCAUUAAGCAGACUGUCAUAGUAAGUUUCGAGGGUGUGUCUCAUGAAUUUAACUUCUCCAAGUUUGGAAGACAACCCCAUGAAAGAGAUUCAUCUGGUAGGGAUGAAAUCAUUGCUCUUUCCUCUAUUGCCAUACCUCCUACGAAUCCUUUAGAGCAAUAUCUGCUUGAGCAUGAAAAUGAUAUGCAUACGGAGGAGAGAGAUGAGAUAGAUAGAAUUGUCUUAGAACAAUGUCCUAUUCUCAAGAAUAAUCUGCAUGUUGAACUGCUUGGGGAUCCUCCCCCACCAAAGGGUGAUCCUGUGUUCGAGCUUAAACAGUUGCCUGAUACUCUUAAGUAUGCCUAUCUUGAUGAGAAGGAGAUAUAUCCUGUCAUUAUUAGUGCUCUCCUCUCAGAGCGUGAAGAGAAGAAGUUACUAAAAACUCUGAGGAAGCACCGCGCUGCUAUUGGAUAUACUCUUGAUGAUCUUAAGGGUAUUAGUCCUACUCUAUGUCAGCACAAGAUUAAAACCGAUCCUGACUUUAAACCAGUUGCUGAUCAUCAAAGGAGAUUAAAUCCUAAGAUGAAAGAGGUCGUUAGAAAAGAAAUAUUAAAGCUUCUGGAAGCAGGAAUCAUUUAUCCUAUUGCUCAUAGUGAUUGGGUAAGUCCAGUACAUUGCGUACCUAAGAAGGGAGGUAUCACCGUCGUUCCUAAUGAUAAGGAUGAACUAAUCCCACAAAGGAUUAUUACCGGCUAUAGAAUGGUGAUAGACUUCCGGAAACUGAACAAGGCAACCAGGAAAGAUCAUUAUCCUUUGCCGUUCAUCGACCAAAUGCUAGAAAGGCUAUCAAAGCACACACACUUUUGCUUUCUAGACGGUUAUUCAGGUUUCUCGCAAAUACCUGUUGCAUAAUUUGAUCAAGAGAAAACCACCUUCACCUGCCCUUUCGAUACCUUUGCCUAUAGAUGUAUGCCUUUUGGCUUAUGUAAUGCACCUGCCACCUUUCAAAGAUGUAUGAUGGCUAUAUUCUCUGACUUUUGUGAAAAGAUUGUCGAGGUUUUCAUGGAUGACUUCUCCAUUUACGGGUCUUCCUUUGAUGAUUGCCUCAGCAACCUUGAUCGAAUCUUACAGAGAUGCGAAUAAACCAACCUCGUCUUGAAUUGGGAGAAGUGCCACUUUAUGGUUAAUGAAGGUAUCGUCUUAGGACACAAAAUCUCUGAAAGAGGCAUUGAAGUUGAUAAGGCUAAGGUUGAUGCAAUUGAGAAAAUGCCUUGCCCCACAGAUAUCAGAGGUAUACGAAGUUUCCUAGGUCAUGCUGAUUUCUAUAGAAGGUUCAUUAAAGACUUCUCUAAGAUUUCUAGGCCUCUUACCAACCUCUUGCAGAAGGAUGUUCCUUUUGUUUUUGAUGAGGAUUGUGAGGAAGCCUUCGAAAUACUUAAGAAGGCUUUGAUAACCGCACCUAUUGUUCAACCACCUGACUGGAACUUUCCCUUUGAAAUCAUGUGUGACGCUAGUGAUUAUGCUGUUGGUGUUGUUCUAGGACAAAGAGUUGACAAGAAGUUGAAUGUCAUUCACUACGCUAGUAAAACUCUAGACAGUGCCCAAAGGAACUAUGCCACUACGGAGAAGGAAUUUUUAGCACUCGUGUUUGCAUGUGAAAAAAUCAGAUCUAACAUAGUUGACUCCAAGGUCACUAUUCACUCUGAUCAUGCUCCUAUUAAGUACCUUAUGGAGAAGAAGGACGCUAAGCCUAGGCUUAUCAGAUGGGUUCUCCUGCUACAGGAAUUUGAUUUGCACGUCAUUGACCGAAAGGGUGCUGAUAACCCUGUAGCAGAUAACUUGUCUAGGCUAGAGAAUGUCCUUGAUGACCCACUACCAAUUGAUGACAGCUUUCCUGAUGACCAAUUAAAUGUCAUCCGCACUUCACUUAGUGCACCAUGGUAUGCCGAUUAUGCAAACUAUAUCGUAGCCAAAUACAUACCACCCAGUUUCACCUAUCAACAAAAGAAGAAAUUCUUCUUUGAUUUGAGACACUACUUUUGGGAUGAUCCUCACCUUUAUAAGGAAGGAGUAGAUGGUGUUAUUAGACGUUGUGUGCCUGAACAUGAACAGGGACAGAUCCUGCAGAAGUGUCAUUCCGAAGCCUACGGAGGACACCACGCUGGAGAUAGAACUGCCCAUGAGGUAUUGCAAUCAGGUUUCUAUUGGCCCACUCUCUUCAAGGAUGCUCGUAAGUUUGUCUUGUCUUGUGACAAAUGCCCAAGGAUAGGGAACAUCAGUAAGCGUCACAAGAUGCCUAUGAACUAUUCACUUGUCAUUGAACCAUUUGAUGUCUGGGGCUUUGAUUAUAUGGGACCCUUCCCGAGUUCCAGUGGGUACACUCACAUCUUAGUUGUUGUGGAUUACGUUACUAAGUGGGUAGAAGCUAUCCCCACUAAAAAUGCUGAUCACCACAACUCUAUUAAGAUGCUUAAAGAAGUUAUAUUCCCAAGAUUUGGAGUCCCUAGAUACUUGAUGACUGAUGGCGGUUCACACUUCAUUCAUGGUGUUUUCCGCAAGAUGCUAGCUAAGUAUGAUGUCAACCAUAGAGUUGCAUCUCCUUAUCAUCCUCAGUCUAGUGGUCAAUUGGAGUUGAGUAAUAGGGAGAUCAAGUUGAUCUUACAAAAGACCGUCAAUAGAUCCCGAAAGAACUGGUCUAGCAAACUUGACGAUGCACUAUGGGCUUAUAGGACUGCUUAUAAAAAUCCCAUGGGCAUGUCACCGUAUAAAAUGGUUUACGGUAAGGCCUGUCAUUUACCUCUUGAGUUGGAACACAAAGCUUAUUGGGCAAUCAAAGAGCUCAACUUUGAUUUCAAACUUGCCAGUGAGAAGCGGUUGUUUGAUAUCAGCUUGUUGGAUGAAUGGAGAGCCCAGGCAUAUGAGAAUACCACGUCGUCAAGGAAAAGGUUAAGAGAUGGCACGACAAACGAAUACAGAAACGAGAGUUCAAUGUAGGUGAUUAUGUCUUGCUAUACAAUUCUCGUUUGAGAUUCUUUGGAGGCAAGCUUCUCUCUAAAUGGGAAGGUCCCUACGUUGUCGAGGAAGUAUAUCGUUCCGGUGCCAUCAAAAUCAAUAAUACAAGGAAAUUUUCCUAGAGUGGUAAAUGGGCAAAGAAUCAAGCAUUACAUCUCUGGUACUCCCAUAAAUGUUGAGACCAAUAUCAUCAAUGUCAUAACUCCACAGGAGUACAUAAGGGAUGUUUAUCAGCCUGUUUCAGACCUUGAAAACGAAGAUGUAUCUGUUUCGGCAAGAAAUUGGACUCCGAUACUUUUCCAAUAGGAAAUUUCCUCAGUUUUGGAAUUUUUGGAAAAUUAGAAAAAUAAAAAAGCAGUCCGGAGAGCAAACGAGGAAGCCACAAGGGCCCACUCCGCCACCACCCCCUGGUGGCGGUGGGCAAGCUUGUGGGCACCUUGUGUGCCUCCCGGACUCCGUUUUCUUGCAGAGGACUCCUUCUGGCCCAGAAAAAAUCAAUAUAUAGUUGCCCGAAGGUUUUGAUCUUCAUAUCGCGUAGUUUUCCUCUGUUUUCGUUUCGAGCUUGUUUCUGCCGCAGAUCUAGAUCAUCAUGACUUCCCCAAACGCUCCUAAGGACAAGAUCUUGGAGAAGGUCAUCAAUCCCUACCUCACGGAAGUGCUAAAACACCAUCAAUCUAUCAAGAUGAGCGAGGGGAUGUUGCACAUCCGUGAUGUUGAGGGGCCUAAGAAGACCGGAAGCAUGGAGACGAGGCUCGAAGUAGUGGAGCAACAAGUCUUCAUGUGCCAAGGGAUGGUUGAGCGUGGACUCAACGCCAACCACACGAUGAUCACGGAGUUCACUAGCAAUCACAAGAUGGAUGUCAUUGAUAUCGGGAAACACCUCUCCAGACUUUACGAUAGGGUUGACCAACUUCAGGGCCAAAUCUAUGACCUGCAGAAUCAAAACUGUGAGUAUGGGUAUAGAUUUAAAUCAAUAAGGUUGGCUGCAGAUUUGAGGAUUUCGGCUACUCGUUCAUCCUGCCAUGAUGGAGCACCUAUGCCUUGGAAGACGGAGGAUCAGACUACUCCAACAACACCACCAUCAUCACCAAAGGAAGACAACUAAGCAUUGGUAUGGGCAAUCCCCUUGGCUUCUGCCGAGCUUGGGGGAGUUGCCCUGGUAUCAUAUCACCUUUAUAUCUUUUGCUUUUACCUUUGUUUUAGUUCUUUCCCUUUCAGUUUUUAUUUCUUCUUUUAGAGGAAUAAGUCUUUAGUUUUUAGUUUGAGUCUUUUGCUUUUGGUCUCUCCCCCGAUGUAUUCGAGCUUACGAGCUAUAUAAUAAAGAGUGUCUUAGUCAAAGGGCUUUGCUUUGUGCCAUGAUCAAAAGUAUGAAAAGAACGAUAGCAUGAAAGAUCAUGAGACGAUCUUAUGGAAAGUGAUAACUUCACUUAUGACACGUAUGAUGAUUGAAACUUGUCGAGAAUAAAUCAACACAUACCUCAGUCAUUGUUGCAAUUAAUAAGAAGUAAUAAGGAAAGAGAGGUUCACAUAUAAAUAUAUCAUCUUAGACACUUUCUACAAUUGUGAGCACUCACCAAACUAUUACAUGCCUAGGAGUAGAUGUUGGACAAGGAAGACAACAUAAUGAAUUGUGUUUGCUUGGUUCCAAACAAUGUUAUAUGAUUAGAGAUCCCUUAGCAUGUGACGAUUGCUUCCACCUCAUAUUAGCCAAAACUUCCGCACCAAGUAGAGAUACUACUUGUGCAUCCAUAAACCUUCAACCCAGUUUUGCCAUGAGAGUCCACCAUACCUACCUAUGGAUUGAAUAAGAUCCUUCAAGUAAGUUGUCAUCGGUGCAAGCAAUAAAAAUUGCUCUCUAAUAUGUAUGAUCUAUUAGUGUGUGGAAAAUAAGCUUUGUACGAACCUGUGAUGAGGAAGACAUAAAAGCGACAGACUGCAUAAUAAAGUUCUUUGUCACAGGAGGCAAUAUAAAGUGACGUUCCUCCGCACUAAGAGGACACGCAUUCAAACCUCAAAAGUGCAUGACAACCUCUGCUUCCCUCUGCGAAGGGCCUAUCUUGUACCUUUACUUUUACCCUUGUAAGAGUCAUGGUGAUCAUCACCAAUUCCCUUUUUGCCUUCGUCUUGGCUACCGUCACAUGCUUGGAAAAGAUCUAUAUUCAUAUAUCAACUUGGAGUUGAGUACUCAUGCUUUAUUGUUGUUGACUUUACCCUUGAGGUAAACCGUUGGGAGGAAAAACUAUAAGCCCCCAUCUUCCUCUGUGUCGAGCUGAAGCUUUGACACCAUGAGUACCACGUGAGCUAUAAAAAUUGUGGAAAACAAAAGAGAUGAUUGAGUAUGUGGGUUUGCCUUACAAGCUCUUAUUUGACUCUUUCUGAUGUUGUGAUAAAUUGCAAUUGCUUCAAUGAUUAUGGACUAUUGUUGGUUACUUCUCGGUAAGGUUUUUGCUUCAUGCUUUGCUUUGUGAAGGAAUUGUUACUUUCCCAUAAGAAUCUUUAUAUAUAUUGUUGUUCUAUGUGUGAUCAUGAUGCCCUCAUGUCUGUAUUAUGUUUUAUCGACACCUUCGUCCCUCAACAUGUGGACGUGUUUAUGGAACUUGGUUUUCGCUUGAGGACAAGCGAGGUCUAAGCUUGGGGGAGUUGAUACGUCCAUUUUGCAUCAUGUUUUCAUGUUGAUAUUUAUUGCUUCUUGGGAUGUUAUAUUACUUGUGGUGCCAUAUUUAUGCCUUUUCGCUCUUAUUUUGCAAGGAUUAUUUGAAGAGGGAGAAUUCAGGCAGCUGGAAUUCUGGACUAGAAAAGGAGCAAAUCCUAGUCCACUAUUCUGCACAUCUCCAAAUGCCCUGAAAAUUUACGUGGAUUUUUUCUGGAAUAUAUUAAAAAUACUGGGCGAAAGAACUACUGGAGGGGGGCCACCAGGGCCCCACAAGCUUGCCCACCACCACCACCCCCUGGUGGCGCACGGUAGGCUUGUGGGCAGCCCACUAGCCCACUAGCCCCCCUCUUUUGCUAUAUGAUGCGUCCUGACCUGGAAAAAAUCAUACAGGAGCUUUUUCGUGGUUUCGCCGCCACCACGGGGCGGAACUUGAGCAGAUCCAAUCUAGAGCUCUGGCAGGACAAUCCUGCCGGGGAAAUUUCCCUCCCGGAGGGGGGAAUCGUCGCCAUCUUCAUCACCAACACUCCUCUCGUCGGAGGGGAGGCAUCUUCAUCAACAUCUUCAUCAGCACCAUCUCUUCUCCAAUCCCUAGUUCAUCUCUUGUAACCAAUCUUCAUCUCGCAACUCAAAUUGGUACUUGUAAGGUUGCUAGUAGUGUUGAUUACUCUUUGUACUUGAUGCUUGUUGGAUUACUUGGUGGAAGAUUUUAUGUUCAGAUCCUUGAUGCUAUUCAUUACACCUCUGGUCAUGAUUAUGAUUAUGUCUUGUGAGUAGUUACUUUUGUUCCUGAGGACAUGGAAUAAGUCAUGCUGAUAAUAGUCAUGUGAAUUUGAUAUUCGUUCGGUAUUUUGAUAUGAUGUAUGUUGUUUUUCCUCUAGUGGUGUUAUGUGAAUGUCAACUACAUAACACUUCACCAUAUUUGGGUCUAGAGGAAGGCAUUGGAAAGUAGUAAGUAGAUGAUGGGUUGCUGGAGUGACAGAAGCUUGAACCCCAGUUUAUGCGCUACUUCGUGAGGGGUUGAUUUGGAUCCACUAGUUUAAUGCUAUGGUUAGACUUUGUCUUAAUUCUUCUUUUGUAGUUGCGGAUGCUUGCGAGAUAGGUUAAUCAUAAGUGGGAUGCUUGUCCAAGUAAGGGCAGUACCCAAGUGCCGGUCCACCCACAUAUCAAACUAUCAAAGUAACGAAUGCGAAUCAUAUGAACAUGAUGAAACUAGUAUGACAGAAAUUCCCGUGUGUCCUCGGGAGCGUUUUCCUCCUAUAAGACUUUGUUCAGGCUUGUCCCUUGCUACAAAAGGGAUUGGGCCACUUGCUGCACCGUUGCUACUACUUGUUACUUGUUACUCUUUGCUUGCUACGUUUCACCUCGCUACACAAUCACUUGUUACCGCUACUUUCAGUGCUUGCAGUUAUUACCUUGCUGAAAUCCGUUUAUCAGAGCCUUUUGCUCCUCGUUGGGUUCGACACUCUUACUUAUCGAAAUGACUACGAUUGAUCCCCUAUACUUGUGGGUCAUCAAGUUGCGUGAUCACAUGGUCAUAGGAACAGAAACAUUGACAUGCAGAAAAAUAGUAGCAAUAAACUGACACGAUCAUAUGCUACAUUUAUAGUUCGGUUCUUGUCCAUCACAUCAUUCUCCCAAUGAUGUGAUCCCGUCAUCAAGUGACAACACUUGCCUAUGGCCAGGAAACCUUGACCAUCUUUGAUCAACGAGCUAGUCAACUAGAGGCUCACUAGGGACAGUGGGUUGUCUAUGUAUCCACACAUGUAUUUGAGUUUCCAAUCAAUACAAUUCUAGCAUGGAUAAAUAAAUGAUUAUUACGAACAAGGAAAUAUAAUAAUAACCAAUUUAUUAUUGCCUCUAGGGCAUAUUUCCAACAAUUUCUAUGUAAAAGGUGCGGAUAGUACCUCAUUCUCGUCUAUCCCAAGCUGAGGUAUGUCACCGACCCUAUGCUCAUCCAUGCAUACAAAAUUAUCCACUGGAGCCCUGAAUAAUUUUUUAUAGUAUUCAAAGAUAUAUUGUUUGAGAUUCUCAUGUCCCACAAUUGUACCCUCAUCUUGUUCUAGCUGGAUAAUUUUUUUAUUCCUAUGCUUUCCAUUAGCUAUUAGAUGGAAAUGUUGUGUGUUGUCAUCUCCUUGUACCACUUGGAGGACUUUCGCUCUUAGUGCCCACUUCAACUCCUCCUCUCUGAGUAGUUGUUUGAGCUUUAGUUCAGCCUCCAUUUUUCAAUGACCUCUCAUUGUCACCUAAUAACGUUUGUUCGGCUUUUAUGUCUAGUGUGUUUAUAAGUUUAUAAGUUCGACAAGCCUUUGUUUCUUUUUCUUAUAAAUUACACUAUCGUGCUUUUCCCAACCCCUUAAGAAUUGCCUCAGGUGUCUUAUCUUAUUUUGCCACCUGUCAACAUUCGAGUCACCUUCUGUGAAAUAGCCCAUUCUCAAACCCGUCCCUUUCAAACCAUCCCAAUUCGAAAGAAAAAAGGUUUUUAUUUCCCACAUGUGUUGCUUCUCGCGAGUCUACAAACAGUGGGGUAUGAUCAGAGAUAGCUCUUGGUAACUCUCAAACUGUGACGAGAGGGAAUUUCUGCUCCCAUUCCACACUCAUGAGAACCCGGUCCAACUUCUCAAAAGUUGGGUUAGGUAAAGAGUUUGCCCAAGUAAACUUUCUCCCUGAUAGCUCAAUCUCCCACAAAUUAAGGCUCUCGAUGAUUGAAUUAAACAUAAAUGACCAUCUUCCAUCAAAGUUAUCACUGUUUUUCUCAUCCUGCCUCCAGAUUAUAUUAAAAUCGCCCCCUACUAAAAUCGGCAGUCUCUCGUCCCCGCAGAUUCGGACAAGGUCAGCCAAGAAAUCUCUCUUGAACUCAGGCUGGGCCGCCCCAUGCACAUCUACGAGUGCCCAUUGGAACCCGUCAUCUUUGGAGCGAACUCAAAAUUUGACUGCAAAGUCUCCAUACACCACUUUCGUAGUUGUGGUGUCUCGCACCGAACCCCAAGCAAGAUCCCACCUGAUCUUCCUCUUGGAGGUAGACAAUGCCAGUCAAAUUCAGAACCUCCAUACAACGUGUUUAAAAACGAAGCUAUAUAGUUAUCUCUCCCAGUUUCCAUCAAUGCAACGAAAUCCAAUUUGUGCUCAAUAGUUGUUUCAGCUAGGAAUCUUCUUUUAGCCAAGUCUGCUAGACCUCUGCUAUUCCAAAAUGUUCCUUUCAUCGCUCAUCAUGAAAUUUCUUAGCCGUUUUAAAUCUAGCACUACGACGCACAGCUGAAACAGGAUAGACUUUUCUCUUCCAGGUUCUUUUUGGCCUAUCCUGAACCUCCGACCGAUCCACAUAACCGUUGGACUCUUGUGCGUUAGCAUUCGUUUGUGGAGGAGCCUCAUACCCCUCCUGAACGAUAUCAUUUGUGUCUUCAAGCAAAAGGGGGGUGGCACAAGAUCCUCACAUAAACGCUCUAAGGCUCCCAAACCCAAUGCAUUUAUAUCAGAAUCAUUCAUAGGUUUUACGGCUGCAAUUUUUCUGACCAUCUCAAUUGCCCUCUCUGCCUCUAAGUCUAACAUGUCAUUUACCGAUCUAGAUAUCUCCUGGUCUACCAAACGCUAGAAUAAGGCCUAGUAACGGGCCCGACCCAUGCCAUUUUGGCCCAUGACUGCAACCAAACACACCCUUAAGUAACUUCUACAAUAUCCAUCCCCAACUUCCAGAAAUUCUAACACUUAAAAAAUCAAAAUCAAACUAUUGGCAUUUAAAACUUUCAUACAUUUCAUUUCUGAAAAAAAUGGUCUUUUAGAUUUCGAAAUAUCAGUAUUAUAUUUUUUACAAAAUUUAACUUUAAGAAUUUUCAAAAUUAUAAGGAUUCAAAAUUCAAAUGUUUUAGCACUUAAAAAAAUUCAAACUUUAAAAAAAUUGAACUUUCAAAUGUUUUGAAUUUUAAGAAGUGUGAACUUUCAUUUUUUUAUAAAGGAUGGGUUUUAUUUACUCAAAAUAAAGCAUCAAGAGCAUACAAAUACAAUAAGAACACACCCGGCCACUUUAUAACUAGGAUGCACACAACCAACUCAAACUCACACACACAAAAAUACGAUCGGUAAAUAGCAAAGUCAUAUAAGACCAAAGCUAUGUGCGCGGUUGGAAAAAGAAACCAAAGCGACCAUAUUGGCAAUGGACAAACUACAACAAUGACCAUAUCUGCACCAACAAUUUCAUUACACCACACGGACAACGAGGUUCCUCAACAAUGACACCUUCAGAAAGGGAGCGACGCUCAAAUGCCGCUAUCAUCGGAUCCAACCAUCCAAGGUCAGAUGCAAGAUUUUCACUCUGAGAAUCAGUCCAAGCAUGUCCGAGCAAUUCCUUCAAUAAGGUAAUGGCGUAAAAACAUCGCCAUUGCCAGGUACAGCCAACUCGAGUUGGACCUAGGCUUUCACCCGGGAGCUCAAGACCGGGUGCUCGAGAAGCACCACCAUCGAAGUCACUAUGUGUUGUUGCCACUACUUUUCCACAAUCUCAGUAGCUAUAUGCGAUGUGUGACCGCUGAUGCUGCACAACCAUCCCUCUACAUCAAGCCAUCAUCAAUAGUUUCAAUCUCACCGUUGAAGUCAACCAUCGGAUCUCCAAGAUCAAUCAUGAAGACCUUUUGAUGGAUACUACAUCAAUCCGCCGCGAGACCGCCACCGUAGUCAUGGUGGUCACCACACGUUCGUCGUCACGCCCCUAGCAGACCUAAAGGUCCACACCAAGGAACCACGGGUCCACACGCAUGGAGCCAUGGAUGUGUGUGUGGAUCAUGAAACGACCAAUCCAUGGCCAUGGCCAUUAGAUGAGACUAUCCCUGGCUGAUGGCAGGUGUCCAAGCCCUGCCGACAUGGCCACUACACCAUGGGCGCCAUCCCACAUGAAGGAGCCACCAGGCGGAGCAGCGACCACAAGUGAGGCGAGAUCUACACCAGCAAUGGCUGGAUCAUCCAGGUAACUGUCCGCUGGAUCUGUGGUGACAUCGUUGGAGGAAGCACGGGGUAGAGAGUGUGAAUCUGGGUUGGGGGAGAGGGGAAGGUCGGGGAAGAAGAUCCCUGUGGCGGUUGAGUCCCGCCGCCGCUGACAAACUGUCAUCGAUGAUGACGACGAGGAUGGAACAUCGGAGGCGGCCUCGAGUGCUAGGGUUUCUCGCCCCCGGUGUCGCCCUGGAGCAACACGGGAGGCCGAUGGCGAUUUCAUAGGAGAGAGAGAGAGAAGGUUGAGAAAUAGAAUCACAUGGUUGGGCAUGUGAGGAAAGAGAGAGAUGGAAAGAAGCACAUGGAUGAGGCCCCCUCGUCCUAUCUACCACAUGGUAACCUGACACAGUCACAUGCAAUGCUUGCGGCAAUGACCAUGGGCACAGUUCCCACAAGAGAGCAUUCUUAGAGUAAUAGCGAGUCUCAUCCUCAUGUUGGAUGCCUAUAUAAAGCUUCUCCUUUCCAACAUUCAUCAUACGAAUUGGCCAAAAUUUCUUUCUCAUUUGUGAUCUUUCAUCACAUUCAACUUUCCUUUGUAUAUAUUGUUGCUAAGCUUCAAAUUCUAAUCAGCUGGAGCUAAGCAAUGAAUUCUUCAUGCCAUCGAGCAUUCCUCGUGAGGAACAUCUUUUGUACUUUGGAAUGAGUGGUAUCGAGAAAUUAGUCAGGACGACUUUCUGAGGCUGAGGCGCCGCUUUUUUCUGUUCUCGUCUCUGAGACGUUGAGGUGGUAGACAUUUAUGAUAAGUGCAUUUCUUGUUGAGAAUAGCAUCGAUAAUCAUGUCUAGUCUAACAACUUGCUCAUUUAGGACUACCCUGGACAGUGCAACAAGUAAAAUACCAAAUCCUUGUACAAAAACAAGUUGUUGCCCUGUGGUGAGGAGUUGAAGCUAUGGCAUGAACUCGUCCAUGUGUGCGGUAUUUCUCCUUGUUGUUUCCAUCGUCUCUAGAAAUCGCUAAAAAGAUCAAAAACAAUAUCAAACCGUUGACACUAUGUGUCUACCAUCUCACACAAAUUCGAACCCAUAUCCAUCGCAGAUCUCCAAAAACAAACAAACAAGACGGAUCCAGUGUUGAACAGCAUAGCAACUAAUUCAAAUCAGCACAUGAACACAUCAUAUCAUCAGCACCAACACAAGAUUGUUUUUUUUUCUCUUUUCUUCAAACAAUAUCCUGAUUAAGGUUUAAAUAUUCUUGUGGCGUUGUAAAUACAUGUUGUGUGUCAGAGACAUAAUUCUUUUUCAAAUAAAAAAACAUAACUUUUUUUACCACAAAUUUUUCUAGGCUUAUGUGUGUGUAUCUUCCUUGUUUCAGUUCCAAGUGACAAGAGGCAAACUUGUCACGGUUGACUGAAUAGAACAGUAGCAAUCGACCUGCCCGGAGCUUCUAUUUUUUGUAGGUGAUUUUCUCUGUUAAGAGUGACUUCUUCUUUUUUGAGAGUUUUGUUAAGAGUGACAUGAAAUCUGCAUAUGGCGAUCGAGCACGCAUGCCGGCGAUCCCACACGGCGCACCGCAGCCACAAGCCGAUCGCCCCCACAAAAUCUGCCCGACGGCUCCCACCGGGAUGGGAUUCCCCGGUGCCAAUGGCGCGCGCCCACCUCACCCCCUCUUAUCCCCGCCUCACCCACUCGCGCCACGCCCCUUAUCCCCUCCUCUUACAAACCCACACAAACUAAUCAUCGCCCACCACCCUCCAACGAUCACCAACCAAAACCCCUCCACACGCCCGCCCGCGCGCGCCACGGACGCAGCAAUGGCCGCCCUCGCCGCCUCCAUCGCCACCUCCACGGCGUUCGCCGCGAAGCCGCGCCUGUCCCGCCCGCCGGCGCGCCUCUCCGUCUCCUGCUCCGCGUCCAGCGGCGACAACAACAACAGCACCGCCACCCCCUCGCUCUCCGCCUCCAUCAAGACCUUCUCGGCCGCGCUGGCGCUCUCCUCCGUGCUCCUCUCCUCCGCCGCCACCUCCCCGCCCCCCGCGGCUGCCGACAUCGCCGGCCUGACCCCGUGCAAGGAGUCCAAGGCCUUCGCCAAGCGGGAGAAGCAGUCGGUCAAGAAGCUCAACUCGUCGCUCAAGAAGUACGCGCCCGACUCCGCCCCGGCGCUCGCCAUCCAGGCCACCAUCGACAAGACCAAGCGCCGGUUCGAGAACUACGGCAAGUUCGGCCUGCUCUGCGGCUCCGACGGCCUGCCCCACCUCAUCGUCAGCGGCGACCAGCGGCACUGGGGCGAGUUCAUCACCCCCGGCGUGCUCUUCCUCUACAUCGCCGGCUGGAUCGGCUGGGUCGGACGCAGCUACCUCAUCGCCGUCAGCGGCGAGAAGAAGCCCGCCAUGAGGGAGAUCAUCAUCGACGUCGAGCUCGCCGCCAGGAUCAUCCCCAGGGGCUUCAUCUGGCCCGUCGCCGCAUACCGCGAGCUCAUCAACGGCGACCUCGUCGUCGACGACGCCGACAUCGGCUACUAAGAAGCUGCCAUGCGUGCGUGCGUGCGUGGUUGGCUAGUCGGUCCCAAGUCAGGU